rnacentral:lncRNA from 1 species
UGGAUAUUUUGGGUUGGACCUUUCAUUGGAGCUGCCAUAGCUGCAAUUUAUCAUCAAUUCAUCUUAAGAGCAGGAGCAGCCAAAGCUCUAGGAUCAUUCUCAAGUUCCUAAUUAAAUCCACUUUUAAUCAAAUGAUUAAGCCUAAUAAUUGUGUGCCAUGAGUAUUUGGCAAAAAUGCCAAUUUGGUUUGUGUUCUCUGUAAAAACAAGAAAAAAGGGCAUUGGCUUUUUAUUUUAUAUGCCCAUAUCUUUCGCUUUCGUGCUUUUUCACUCUUUUUAUGUAAUUACGAGAUCUUUCAUGAUGUUUAUAAAGUGUGAAUUUAUCUUCCUUAAUUUCUUGCUUCAAUUAUUAUUUAGUUUUAUCGAAAGAGAUUUGUUUCUUUAACUAAUUCAAUCUUUAUCUCUCGUCUAAAAGAUGUCAUUUAUGGGUUUCAAAUUAAGAUGUCACUUAGGGGAGAGGGUGGGAGGUAGGCUGUAGGGUGAGCAAAAUGAAGAUUAAAUACAAGGAAAGGGAAGGGUUUGUACUUUAGAUAAACUUGUGGGGAAAAAAGUGAGAGUUAUUAUUGGAAGUUGAAACUAGAAAAAGCAAGAACAUGUAAAUCAAUAAUUGAGAUAAAAAGUAGUAUGUGAACAGAAGUCGAAAGAGGAGAGAAAUCGUAGGUGAAGCCUAAAGAAAAUGUAGUAAUUAAAUGAAAGCUUGUGUAAAAACAACGAGAAAAAGAAGGGAAAAACUUAUUGAUACAUCACUCCAAUAUAUUUUAAAAGUAAGUUUUAGGUAUAAGGCAGGUGUGAAUGGUUUUAUAGUAUGUGAGAUUUGCUGCAAACAAAAAAUAUUUUUAAAAAGAAAAAUCCUACUUCAUUUUAUGUCAUAAUUUAGAAAAUCAAAGUUCAACAAAAUGUUUAUUAUAAAAAUAGGAUGAAUUAUAUAUAAUUCACCUCAUUUACAACUAAUCAUACAUAUAAAUGGUCGAUUACGGUAUAAGAAUAUAUGAAUUCAUAUUAAUUUAUUAAUAAUUUGUAGAUUCAUAAGCAACUACAUGACAAUUGCUUUCAAAGGUUCUCUUAUGUUUAACUUAAUUUAAGGCCAACGUAGACUUCACGUUGAGUGUUUUAGUAUUGUAUCUAACUCUCUUAUUCUAUUCGAAUCAAACAACAAUGGAUUUAGCUUGAGUCUGUCUAAGUCCAAAUUUAUUCACAAACAACUGUAUUCUUUUAUCAUAUUUCUAUUUAAUUAUCAUGUCAUUUAACCAAACCAUACAAAUGGAGAGAAAGAUAGUGCUAAUAUAACAGGAAAAGAAAAAUUGAAUUGGUACAGUGGUUGGCAAAGAAAAACUAUGAUGAUACAAUUCUUGAAAGAAAAGCAAAGUAAAGUUAUUAUUUUAAGAAAGAAAAAGAGUAAAAGGUAGCUCGGAUCCAAGCAUGAAGUGACAAAUUAUAUGAUGCACUCCUUCAUCUCAAUAAUUCCAUUCCAUUCCAUAACAUUAAAAAUUAAAAUAGUAUGUUAUCUUUUUCUCUCUUUUAUUUCUUCAAUUCCCCAAUUAUAUAUCCAUGACACGUGGAGCUUUCACAGCCACAAUGUUUAUUUUCCACCUUAGACCGACCAUUAACUUUUCUUGAGGCUAUUAUCAAAUCUGAUGAUACCGAUGUUAUUACGUGGCGUUUACUUGGUUGGUUAGUGGUUUACGAUAAGGGAAUGGACGGUGAUGAUGAGAAAUGUAUUAAGUCGGUUUAAGUCACUCAUCACCUCUCACCGACUCUACCCCACUUAUUCCACACGUGAUUUCUUUGACACUAACGUUUCUUUCUUUCUUUAAAGAAAUCAAAUACUAAUGUGUGGGUGCAUGUUUUGAAGGGUAAUGUGAGUAUGUAUUAGAGAUACUUGUUUCUGGUAACUUCCAAUCGUGCAAAACUACAAAAAAGGUGGUGUCAAAUCAUUUAAAUUAUGAAGAAGAUUUAAUCCAAAUGGGGCGGCAAGAUAAUUCCAAUACAAAUAUUUGAAUUAACAAUUGAAAACUCUAAUAAUUCACUUCUCUAAAACAUCCUUAUAUAAAUCCACCGCUUCAUCCCUAACCUCCAUCACUCUACUCUACAACUCUUCUCUUUUCUAACUACCAAUUCCUUUCCAAAAACUUCACCCACUACCAAGUACCAACACAAGCCAUGUCUAAGGAUCUUGAAGCUGGUGGAUUCGCCGUCAAGGAUUACCAAGACCCACCUCCAGCUCCAUUGAUCGAUGCCGAAGAGUUAACUCAAUGGUCUUUUUACAGAGCUAUCAUUGCCGAGUUCGUCGCCACUCUUUUGUUCUUGUACGUCACCGUUCUCACUGUCAUUGGCUACAGUAGCCAAUCCGACACUAAAAACGGCGGCCAAAUCUGUGGCGGCGUCGGCAUUCUCGGCAUUGCUUGGGCAUUUGGUGGCAUGAUCUUCGUUCUCGUUUACUGCACUGCUGGAAUUUCCGGUGAGUAUGAGUUUUUUCUUUUGGGUUUAAUUCCUCUGUUUCUCUCUCUGUUCAUUCUGUUUAUGGAAAAUUACCUUCUUUUUUUUUUUUUUUUUAUUGUAGGUGGUCAUAUUAACCCAGCGGUGACUUUUGGGUUGUUCUUGGCGCGGAAGGUGUCUUUAACUAGAGCAAUUCUUUACAUGGUGGCUCAAUGUUUGGGCGCCAUUUGUGGCUGCGCUUUGGUAAAAUCAUUCCAGAAGGCUCUUUACAAUGAGCACGGAGGUGGAGCCAAUUCUCUCGCCGAUGGGUACAGCACCGGCACCGGCUUAGCCGCGGAGAUAAUCGGAACUUUCGUUCUUGUUUACACCGUCUUCUCCGCCACAGAUCCCAAGAGAAAUGCUAGAGAUUCUCACGUUCCUGUAAGUUCAUUCAAUUCCCCAAAAUUGGUUUAACCGUUCACCCUCAUUUCACUCGAUCGAACUAACUAAAUUUUGUUUCGAAAUUGAAGGUUUUGGCUCCACUCCCAAUUGGGUUCGCGGUGUUUAUGGUUCAUUUGGCCACCAUUCCUAUCACCGGCACCGGAAUCAACCCAGCUCGAAGUUUUGGAGCUGCCGUGAUCUUUAACAAAGACAAGCCAUGGGAUGACCAGGUAACAAAAACAAUCAGUCUCUUUCAGCAUUUGAACUUCGUUUUAAUGUAAUGCAACAAUUGAAACUUAUUUCUUUGUAUGUGGGCAGUGGAUAUUUUGGGUUGGACCAUUCAUUGGAGCUGCGAUUGCUGCAAUUUAUCACCAGGUUGUGUUGAGGGCAGGAGCAGUUAAAGCUCUGGGAUCGUUCAGAAGUUCGACUGCCGUAUGAAUGUAAUACGAAUCUCCAUGAAUGGAUGUGGAAGUUGUUUAGAAAAAAAUCCCAAAGGCACUUGUUUUUUAAAAAGUGUGCCCUUGUUCUAUCCUUCCAGUUGCUCUGUUUUUGUUUUGCUUUAACUCUCUGUUUUUCGUCCCCCACAUGUCAUAUGUAAUAUUGGGCUGUGUUUUAAUGCAAAGUUUGAUCCAAUCAAGUGGGUCAGUUUCUAUGCUUAAUCAUCAUCUAAUCUGCCAUUUUGCACUUUCUUUCCUUUUAAAUGGUAUUUAUGUUGUUCCAAUCCAAAUUGGGUUUAGAUGGGAAUUUAUGAUUCUACUUAGAACUUAUAAUUACAAAAUCAAAGUGUAGAACAAUUGUUCUUUUAACUCUAUCAAGUUUGUAAAUUGUUGGUUAGUUUCCAAUGGUUACAAAUCGUAUAAUCUGCCAUUUAACUCUAUCAAGUUUGUAACUCUAUCAUAUAAUCUGCCAUUUUUCGGUCUUUUCUAGUUAAUUUCCAUUUGAGUUCUUUUAUUUUCUUUCAUUUUUGUGUGUGUUUCUUCAUUCAUGGUGCCUUGAAGAACAUCAAAACAUGUCUGUGCAUUCUUAAAUGUACACUCACUUUAAAAUUAAAAACACAAUAUAUUUCUUUUUUCCAUUUUGAUAUAUACAUAUAUUACCAACUUUAGUUUCUUCUCCUUUAACUAAAAGUACACCAUUUGUUAUCAUGUAUUUAAUACCCAUAUAUACCCAUAUAGAUGUAUGUAUAAUGUAUCCAAAGAUAAUAGUAGAAGAAAGUGUAACAACUCAACUUGUAUGAUACUUAAAUUAGAAGUUUGAAUCUACCGUUCAAUAUUUCAAACAUAUAUUAAAGAAAAGUUUUAAAAACAUUUUUGGUAUCUAUACUUUCAAGGAAGUAACAAAUUGGUUUCUCAGCUUUAAUUGCUAGGGAUUCAGUAAUUCUAUUUUCAAUUUCAUAAUAAUUUAAUUUCCAAAUUUUAGGUUUCAUGUUCUUUCAAGUUUGUAAAAAUUUAUACCCCUAAACUAGAAGUUGAUUUCUAUCAUUUUAAGAUGAAGACGAUCUAUUUUAUUAAACCUACUAAGUCUCCAACUAGUUUGUUGAUUUAUUUAUGUAAAACAAAAAUCUUAUUAAAUAUCGAUACUAAUCCCUACAUUAAGGACCAAAUUAUUAAGUAGUAAACAUUCAUGAACUAAAAUGUUAAAAAAUUAAAAGUACAAUGACUAAAUCGUUACAAAUCAAUGUUUAAAAAUUAUAUUGUCGAAAAUAUAAAAAUUUAGAAUGUAAAAGUGAAAUGAAUUAUUUUGUUAAAAAAGAUGUUUAAUUUGAUAGAAAAAUUGGAUGAUUAAAACAAGAAUGGAGGAUUUGAAAAGGACUCUUCGCGUGUAUUAAGAUCUAAGAGGCAUCAAUUUUGUUGUAUAAAUCAUAAAUGUAAUGUAGCUCAUGAUUCUUGCCUUUUUUUAAAAGCAUACUAUAUUUGUUAUUUCUUUCUAAAUAAUAGGUGGCAUGAUUCUUGCCCCUUUUUUAAAAAUAAAAUGUAUAUAAAAAAGCAUAUUUAAAUUCUUUUCUCAUAUAUGUUAUAUUUUUUUUCUUCACUUUCAAAAUAGUAUGUGGCAUGAAAAAUGGGAGUAUAUUUGUAAAUGAACUUCAAAAUAUAGAUUGUUAAAUAUUCUCAUGAGAUAUGGAUAUCACCAUUUAAUUAAACAAAGUUGAAAUAUUAUCUCUAAUUAUAAAGUUAUAAAGUCUAUCUAAUUUACCCUAGUGAAUGUUGGACAAUAAUUGAGAUUGAGUGAUAACUAGCUCACAAAGGUAGUACAAUGUAGGCUUUUUCUAUCCAUGCAUCUAAUACACGACACAAAACUUGUUUACACUAAACGUUAUAAGGUGGACAAACAAUUCUAGUAAUUACUUCCAUAUUUGAUAAAUAAUGUUCACCCGAUCUUACAUUAUUGUCGAUGUUAAACUAUGUUAACAUGGCAAAUAGUACUCAAACAAGUUUGACUAUACAAAUGUACUAGACACUACACAAAAAUAUGACACCAUAGUAAGUAAUUAAGAGUAAUAUUCAUAUUAUUAUAAGUAGUUUUCCUAUCGAUUAUGUGUCGGUGCUCAAUCCUAAUUAGUCAACAAACCACUCUCAAGCCGCCAUAGGCAACAAGCUAAAUCAUUUUCUAAAACUAGAGAUUCAUUUUUGUCUUUGUUCAUACAUCUAAUUUGAGAUUUGUAAUGGUAUGCUAAAAAGAUGAUGAAGUGGAAACCAAGAAGGUGGAGGGUAUGAUACUCUUAAAGUUAUUAGUUGUUCAAGUUUCAAAGAAAGACAUUUAAUGGUUUGGAGUAGGUGAGAAAGGAGGUGGAUGACUCUGUAAAAAUUAAUAAUGUGGGAUCCAAUAUUGUCUCUAAGAUAAUCAAUGCAAAAGAAAGGGUAGACAAAGCAUUUAAUAACGCUCUUAAAAUCAUAUUAAUAACAUUACUUUAGAGCCUUAAACUAGAUUAUGAGUAUGGAAUCCAUGUUCCAUAGGUAUUAUCUUCGUAUAAUUGAGUAUCAAACGCAAAUUAAUAUCACUUCCAUAUAAUAGGGUUGAAGAUAUGUGUUUUGAGCACUAAGUUAAUAGUUCACAAUUCUCAUUAAAUAACCGAAAUGAAAUACAAUGAAUGGAGCAACUUGGUAAAGCGAAAAUAAAUAACAAACAAGGACGGUUUUCUACCCUAAAUUUCACGACAUAGAAUUGCUUUGGAUAUAAAUUUCAAACAAAUUAUAUUCUAAUAUAUAAAUUUUAAAUAAUCAUGACAUAAUCAAUUAAUAUUUCAAUAAAUAAGUGAGUUGUUUUAAAAUAUAGCGGUAUAGACCAACAUUGAUAGAUGUCGGUUAAUGUCUCAUUAUCUAUAAAACAUUUUUACUAUAUUUGAAAAUAUUUCUACCAUUUGUAUGGACAAUAAAUAAACUUACUCACUAAUAGUUUUCAACUAAAUACAUUAAUAUAUUUUUAUUCAUUAAAAUCAAUUAAGAGUGUAAGUCAAUUAUUAUAAAAUUAUUACAAUUGAAUUAAAUAGAUAAUAAUAAUUGACAUGAUCUCUUAUUUUAGAAAUCAAUGGUUCAAUCUUCCAAUCUCGUAGUUGUAAUGUUUGAACUUACAACAAAGAUUAUUGACACGAGUAUAGUUCAAUUGACAUAUAAUGUUCACUAUCGAUACGUUGGAUCUAUCUUUUCGAGACAAAUUUUUAUUUUCGUACAAGAAGAACUAGGAAGAAGGGGAGAAAACCAAUAAAUUUGGAAGGGUAUAGAUGCCCUCUCCAAAGGUAUAUGAAACGCAAAGGAAUAGAUUAUUCCUAUUCCAAAGCUCUAUACAUAACACAAAACCAAAUAUUAAUUUGCCAUUUCUAACUUCAUAAUAAUAAUUCAUAACUCUCCUCUCCUCUCAUCAAAACAGAGCAAUGUCCAACAACAUUGAUGGAAGAAGCAAUGUCAAGGACUACCAAGACCCACCUCCCGCUCCCUUCAUCGAUUCCGACGAGUUCACUCAAUGGUCAUUUUACAGAGCCAUUAUUGCAGAGUUCGUUGCCACGCUUCUCUUCUUGUACAUUCUUGUUCUCACUGUCAUUGGCAAUGCCAGACUCUCCGACACCAAUAUCUGCGGCGGCGUCGGCGCUUUAGGCAUUUCCUGGGCCGUCGGCGGCAUGAUCUUCGUCCUUGUUUAUUGCACUGCUGGAAUUUCUGGUGAGUUUAGUCUACUUAAAUUCCUCUGUGUGUUAUUAUGUUCAUCAAUUACUCUGUUUUGUUCAUCUCUUCAGGUGGCCAUAUUAAUCCGGCGGUGACGUUCGGGCUGCUGUUAGCUCGAAAAAUCUCCCUAGUCAGAGCUUUUUCUUACAUUUUGGCUCAAUGUUUGGGCGCCAUUUGUGGGUGUGGGUUAGCUAAAUCAUUACAAAAGACUUAUUACGUUCAGUACAACGGCGCAGCCAAUAUGGUGGCCAAUGAGUACAGCAUCGGUACCGGCUUAGCCGCAGAGAUAAUCGGAACUUUUGUUCUUGUUUACACUGUCUUCUCCGCCACUGACCCCAAAAGAAACGCUAGAGAUUCUCACAUCCCAGUAAGUUUAAUUACACAAAUCUGAGUUCAGGCUCUGUUUUCGUCAUUCAAUUAACUAAUCAAGUUUGAACUUAAAAACCAAAGGUUUUGGCACCACUCCCAAUUGGGUUCGCUGUGACUAUGGUUCAUCUAGCUACCAUUCCGAUCACCGGCACCGGCAUCAACCCAGCUAGAAGCUUAGGAGCUGCUGUGAUUUUUAACAAAGCCAAGGCCUGGGAUCAUCAUGUAAAGUUCCUCCUCAUCUCUUUUGUCAUUUAAGUUUCCCGUUUCAAAUUGAAGCUUAUUUCAUAUAUAUAUAUAUUUAAUUUUUUUGAACAGUGGAUCUUUUGGGUUGGGCCAUUCAUUGGAGCUGCCAUUGCUGCACUUUAUCAUGUAGUGAUCAUAAGGGCAGGAACCAUUAAAGCUCUGGCUUCCUUCAGAAGUUCAUCUGCUCUAUAAAUCUUAUCCCUAUCUUGUUUGUUCCAAAACCUGCCAUUUUCUGUAAUUCUGAAUUUGCUUUUUUGUACUAAAUUAAUGAAGUGUGUUAUGUUUAUGCUGAGUGUUCAUCUUUCUUCAUCCAAUUUCUUUACAAAUUUAAACAAACCUUCUUUGCCAUUGAUUCUCAAACUCACUUUGUUGAUUGAUUUGGUGAUGAGAGAAUUAAUGAAUGGGUUCCCUUUAUGCAAGGGUUUAUUUAAUAUGACCAUGUGAUACCCUCCCUCCUCCCUCCUCAUCCUCAUCCUCUUUUCUUUUCUUGUAUUAUUAAUUACACCAAUAUCAAUCAGGUGUUUGAGUUAAGACUUUAGAAUAAUCUCACAUCGGUGUGAGUGUGAUGCUUAUGUUAACAUAAUCUAAUACAGGGUGAAUACCCAAGACCUGUACCCUACCUUAAUACACUAAUUAAGCUAUGUCAAAAUAUUAAUACAAACAUACACAUUAUAUUGGUAGAACAUUUGAAGUGGUUGAGUUAAGAGAAGGGGAUGUCGGUGUAAGCCAUAAUAAUUAUUAUGUGCCACAAACUGCUCUUCUAUAUGAAUACAAGAAAUGUUCUCAAUUGUAUUAAAACACAUUGCCCCUUCAAUUUUCAUCCCCUUUUUUUUUUAAUUGGUAUCUUAAAUUUCUUUUACCAUCUAAUUUUUAAAUCUUAUUUUUAAAUUAAUUUAAAUUCUUGAAAACAUGUUCAUAUCAUAUAUAAUCUUGAUUCAAAUGACUCUAAUCUACUCCUUCGGUUUAAAUGAACUUUUUUUUCUUGGUUUUGUAGUCACGUAUUGGUAGUAUAAUUAUAGCUAAAGAAAAUGUCUAAAAGUUAAGGAUUAUUUGAUAAAAUCAAUCGCUUCUAUGUUUCGAAUUAAAAAAAAAAUGAUAACCACUCAAUUUGGUCGUUUCUAAAAUUUAACACUAGGAAAGAAAGAAAAGAACAAAAAGUAACAAACUGACUUAAUUAUGCCAAAUGUUGAAAAAUUUUCAAUUGAAAGAUAAAUAUGCAAGGAAAUUUUUGCAAUAAAUUAAAUGUUGAGAAUGUACAAUCAUGAACAAUAGAACAAAAAGUACAAAAGAUUUACAAAAACAAUGGUAAAUGAAAAUUGAAAAUAAUCCAUGGUUAAAUACAUGUAUUUACAAUAACAUUGGAGAGAAAAAUAUACAAAAAAAAAAAAAAAAGAUAUUGUGGUUUGAAUUUGGUUGAGGAUAGAGAAAUUAUGAAUGUUGUGGAUGUUUGUGGUAUUGAUAUUGAUGUUGAGGGGUUUCUUCAGUGAUGGGUUCCAAUGAAGGAACUGUUGAGGGUUUAUGUGGAGAAAUAAUUGGAGAUGGAGCUACUUCAUCUAUACAAUACUUCAUUUUUCUUUCUAUUAUUUGCUUUCCCAUUCUCUCUUUCUUUUAACCUCUAAUUUCAAUUUCUUUCCCAAAUACUCAAAUUCUCUUUUCUUUUCUUUUCUUUCGAUUCUAUGGAUUUCUUUGUUUUGUUUUGUAUUUAUAUUGAAUAUGAAAAGGAAAUAGAGGUUGAAAAAUGGUUGGUUGGUUGCUUCUAAUUUCAAACAUAAAACCUAUUUUUACUAUUUUUGGGACACUAUAAAAACUUUCCAUUUGACUAAAAUUUGUUAAUUAGGGUGAAUUAUAUUUAUGCAACAAGUUUUGUUGAAAGCGCCAUUUCAUGACCACUAAUUCAUAUAUGGUUUAGGUUUAGACUCCCUUAAUUAUGUCAAAUAAAUUAGGAUUGUGUAUUAAUAUAUAUGACAAAUAUAAUAUUUCCUUUUUUAAGUUUCACAUUUACUUAAUUCUAAUCUGAUAUGGAGAUUUCGGAUGAGAAAUUGUUGCUCAAAGGUGGAGAUGUGGCUUUUCUUUUCUUAAUCUUAUGGUGCAUUUAAAAUUCAUAUAUCUAUUAUUCUAAAAUUUUACUGGGUUUACAUUUCAAUUUUUUAAAAAAAUUAUCAAUUGAUCAAAACAUUUUUAUAGUAUAUAUUCUCCAUCUUCAUUUUUGUUAGUAAUCCUAAUUUCCUUACUCUAAACUAUUUAAAACAUGUGUUGAUCCAUUAUAUUAGAACUAUUCAAAAAACUAAACUUUUUUUGUUUGGUUCUAUAAGAUGUGUAUAAGUUUACUAACAAAAUUUAGCAUAUAUAUCAUAGACCAAAAACUAGAACAACAGACAAAAAAUAAUGUAGAGAAUAUAUAAGAGAAUAAAACCCCAUUUUACAUUUGAUUUCACUUUGAUUUUGACAUUAAUUUUUACAUGAAGCCCUAUAAACCAAACAUAACUCCACAUUCACACACAUAUAGAUUAUAUUGGACUAAAUUAAAAGGUGAAGAAGAGAAGAGGAAUUAGGGAAAAGGGAAGAAUAAGAAAGUUUAUCUUGGUUGAUAAUUUCUUGAUCUUCAUCCUCUUCUCGAAUAGUUUCCAAGGAAGGAGAAUGGGAAGCUUUAAUGGAAGAAACAAGAGGAGAUGGUGCUUUCUCAAUCCAAACAAUUCUCGAAACUACUUUCACAUUCUCAUCACCCAUAACUGAUCUCACAAGUACUUAUGUAUGAAUUAUAAUGAUCAAGAUGUGAAACAAUACUCACACAAGUACUUAUUGUAAUUACCUUAUUUAUAUACACAUGAUAUUUUGACAAAUAUAUAUAAAUAUAGAUGAAAGGGUUGUGGUAAACUACUUGGAGAGCACCAAGAAGAUUAUUGAUUAUUUCGCCUCAAAAUCCUAUCAAUUAAGUAAUGACCCCACUAAAUAUAAUAUAAAAACUUUUGAUAGUAUUAUUGUUAAUUUAAUUAUAAUGUGGAAUGAGAUAAUGAUAGGGUUUGUAAUGGGUACGGAUGACCUAAAAAUUUGUGAUCAAACCAAGUUUUGGCAGUAUUUUCAAAAGGCAUUCCAAGUUUUUCUUAAUCAUUUAUUUCAUCCGUUGGCAUUUUCAAGCUGUUGCUCAUUCUAUUUCAUAUUGUGCUCAACAAGAUGGAGAGAAUAUAUAAUAGGAGAAAUGGGUAAGAAAUAUAAAACGAGAGGAGAAAAAAGUUGUUUAAGAUUUUUGAAAAAAGGUAGAAAAACCUAUUUCUAGAGACUCUACCUAAAAAAAAUCAAAAGAGAAAUUCAUUAUCGAAUGGUUAUAAGAGGAUAAUCAAUUUUUAAAUUUGUACUUUUACGGUUUAAAAAAUAUAGUGACAUACUAUUUUUACUAUUUUUAAAGUAUUUUUUGACAUGUACACUGUGUAAAGUCGUUUCUAACACCAUUAAACCAUGUGUAAAAUAUAUUAUUUAACUAGGAAAUUUAAUUUUAAAAUAUAAGUCAUCAAUUUAUUAAUCUCAACCCAACUUCCCCAUCUUUGCAUGCUUUACAAAGUGUACACAAUUAGAUGUAGUGCUAACAGGGGCUUAUAAGCUAAUUAAAAACAUUAAUACAAGAAAAAAAAAUCUAGUGGUGUGAGGUUCCUUUACAUAAUUAAAGAUAUAGUUUAAUGAAUAAUGAUUCACAUCCUCGUUAUUACUUUUUAGUUAUACAUAUAUUUGAUAAAGCCAUUUUUAUAUAGCAUAUGAAAACAUAUUUAUUUUAUUAAUACUCCCAAAGUUUUACUACACAUUACAAACAACAUAUUGAAAAUGUACACAAGACUCUACUCUUUAAGGUUUUGUUGAUUUAUAUAACAACGAGGUAUGUGAAUAACAUUUAAUCUUAGAAGUUUAAGAUUUAGACUUGGAUAGUCAACCCUAAUUGAGCCCUAGGCCCAAGCCAAGGACCAAAACAUAUUCCACACAUGGCCAAGAUGCAAGAGCGUGCCCAUUUUAGGUAUAAUUCAUCAUCUUUCAAUUGAUUCGGGUCGAAGGAAAAAAAACAAAAUCAACAUGGAAGAAGACUAUGUAGAAUAUUAUGAUUUCAAAUUAAAGACAACUUAAGUGUAUAUGGAAGACUUGAUAUCUUUGAAGUUCAAUUCUUAAUCUAACUUUUAUUCUACUAAAGUUGGAAGACAAAAUGUAUAAUUUUAUAAUAAGUUGAACGUAUAGAAUCUACUCAUUCACCCAUAAUAGAAUAUACAGAAUAUAGGUAUUAGCACAUUUCAAAUUGAAAUGAUGAAUAUAUAACACAAUCAGUUUAAUAAACUAUAUAGUUGCGUUUUUGAAUCUCAAUGGAAAAGUGUGUGUGCAUUUAUUCAACUAAUAAUACAGGUAAAAUAUUGAAAAGCUAUGCAAUAUAAAAAGAGAGAGAUUUUCAUGGUUUACAUAUAAAUUGAUAUCUUAGUAUAUUAUUAUCAGUACGUGUUGUAUUAAUGCAAAUCUAUUUUUAAAUUUACGUGGAUGUGUACAUAUACAAUGAAUGGAGAGAGUAGAUUUUGUUGUUGCAAUGAAAUGACCCUUCAACCUAUGGAAACACUAUAUAUCCAUCACGUCCUCACAUAAUUUAUUGAAGCAAGGAAAAAAAAUUGCAAUAAUCAUUGUUUGUGUGUGUGGGAAAUGACAUGGCUACAUUAUAUGGAUUUGUCACUUCAUAUAUUAAAUGUCCAAAACUUUGGUUAAGUGCUGAAAAAUGUGCAUAUAAAGCUAAGGGUGUGGAAACCCUACACAUGCAUGUUUAAUUAACCAUUAAAAAUGAUUGCUUUAAAUAGUUCUAACUUAUAUAAAUCAUUGUUCAUGGAGUUUAAUUAUAUAACUUUUUUUAUGUACAUAAAACAGUUUCUUUAGUUAAUUAUUUUAGGAUCUUCCAUGUAAUUAUGUAAUUUUUCAAUAUAGGUUGAUGUUUUAAUUCUUGUCAUUCACUUGAUAUACAAUAAUUUUUCAUAUUAUCUCGUAAAUUUUCUUUUAAAAUAUUUGGAUAUAAACUUUGAAAUGUAUGUACCCAAUACGUGAUCAUAUCAUUUUUUUUGUACAGUGAGAACAUCUAUUUUUAAUGUUGAUUAUUCAUAACAAACCUGUCACAGUGUAAUCACAACGUAGAGCAGUCGAUAUCCUCAUUAUUUAAUCUUAAAAUAAAUAGGUCUGGAAUCACCACAACAAUCAUAUUAAGGUGUGAUUGGUCACAUAGAAAACAUUGAUCUAAGUAAAUUUAGAUUUAGAUUAGAUAAAUUUAGAUUAGAUAAAUUUAGAUUUAGUUUUAGGAGUCAAUUGUGUGCAAAGGGUGUUAGGUGAUAGCACCCUACUACAUUCAUUUUUACUAAAUUUUAUCUUUUAAACUAAAUUAUAAAGAUUCACGAAAAGGUGCAUAAGAAUGUCAGUUGUGCUUGAUUUGUUUUUUUAAAUAACUCAUAAUUAUCAUUUUAUUAUGGGGCAGUUAAAAAGGUGUUAGCUUCGAUUUGGCUUUUCUAGAUGUGAAUGGAGGACCUUAGGACAUUUUUUUUUUAAAAAAAAGAUCAAAAUAUUUCCUUGAAUCUUUGUAAUUUAGUUUAAAAGAUAAAUUUUGGUAACCAUAUUUAUGUGGUAGCUGCUAACACUUUUUAUACAUACAACUGAACUUCGAACAUAAAUAUAAAUUUAAGUAAACCAUUAUUAUUAUUAUUAUUUUGUCUAAUCACACCUUAAUAUGGUUGGUGGUGUCUCCAAACCUAUUAACUUUAAUGAGAUGUUGGUCGUUUCGUGUCACGAUCACGUUGCGAUAAAAACUUAGUGAUAAAACAUUAUAAUUUCAUUAUAGCAUGGAGUCACAAAUAUUAUGCAGAAUUUAGAAAAUAAAAGUUAAUUAACUUAAUAAGAGAAAAUGAUUAAUAUGAUGAUAAUAUAGUAUUACGGAAAGUUAAAAUAAAUUUUAUGUUAAAGUGCAACAUUUAGUCUAUAUAUGAUUGGGAGAAAAGUAGGAUUUAAUUAGUUAAUUAAUAUGAUUUUAAAAUUAAAAUUUAAUUAUCUAUAUUUUGAAGGGAAAAAAAACUCAUAAAUAGUUCUAUCAAAUAGGGUUCAUCAUAAUUAAAUAGUCUGUUAAUAAAUUUUAAUUAUAAAUUAUAUAUGAGCUAGUUUCUAAUUUCUUUAACUCAUUAGACCAAAUUUACAAUAUUUAAUUUGAUCUAACAAUAAUAAUAUUUGCUAAUUGGGAUGUACCAAGAUAAUAUAUAAUCGAUUAAAGUAAAAAACAAAAAAAAAAAAAACAAAAAGAAAAAAACAACAAUUUUCCUUGGUAAUAGUUCUUCAUUCCUAGAAAGAAAAUACUUAUUAUUGCAAUGAAUCAAUUUAUUAUAGAGAGAGAGUGUGUGUGUGUGUAUAUAUAAUUGGUUAUUAUCUUUAUUUAUUAUUAUCUGAACUAUAAUGUUAUUAAUUUGAGAGUCAAAUUGAUCAGUAAUCACACACAACUCAAUACUUAAAUGGUUUGAUUGAAUCUACUUCAAGAGAGAGAGAGAUAUGACAAAAAGGAGGUUCAUAAUUAUGAAGAACAACAAAGUAGUAGUAUUAGUGGAGCCAAUUCAAGGGAGAGAGGGAGAGAGUUUUCAUAGAUAAUGUAAAAAGAAAAAAGAAAAACUGAUAGCUUUGUAUAUGUUCAGACACACAUGUGAUUUACUGAUCUUAACAAGAGAUCAGGAAAUUAUAAGAGAGGAGUUAGGCAUAUGGUAAGAACUUGAAAAGGGUUGUGAUCGUGAGAGAUGGUGGUCGAUCGAGAUCACUAGGAGGAUGAGUCGUUGUGGCUUCUAAUAAUAUGAUGAUCUUGAUGAUGGUGGUGAAGAACAUGUUCUUGAUCUUCAGAAAUGGUGUCCAAACAAGGAGAAUAAGUUGGCUUUGGUGCAUAAACAAUCAGAUGUGGUGCUUUCUCAAUCCAUAACAAUUUACUCCUCAAAUUACUUUUCCCUUUCUUACCUUUCCCCAUCAUCUUUACACAGAAAAUAGACCUCUUUGAAAUUGAUGAUAUGAUCACAGAAAGAGAAUUUGUUGUGAAGAAGAUGAAGUGAAGAAAUCAAAUAUUUAUAGACAUAGAAAAGGGACACAGGAUGGGGAGAAGCAAUUACUACAAAAGAAGAUUUCUUAUUAUUAUAAAAAUUAAAUUGGACAAUUUGGUGGACUUAAUGAAUUGUUUUAUUAAAGCAUGUGGAAAAUUCAAACACUUUUUAACAUAAAUUUGUUGUUGAAAUUGACUAUAUUAUUCCAAACCUUAACCUACGUAUCUCCCACGCUAUGUAACAAAAACAGAAAAGAAGAAAAACGUUUUUACUUUUCUAUUUUCAAGAUUUUCUUUACACCACUGUGUCUCUCAUGUGUAUGCCUUCAAAUUUUUAAUUCUUACUUCACAUAAUCUAAAAACUAUAUGUUCAAAUACUGUUUUACCUUUCAACCACUUUACUUUAUUUACUUUCAAAUCUUAAAUUUAAUCUCUAUUAUUACUGAUUUUUUUCAAAUCAUUUUUAUUAUUUAUCAACGUUUUUACUUACUAUAACUUAGCAAUCAAACUCAAAAUUGGUUAAAUUAAACAUGUCGUUUAAUUUUGAUAUGGUCAAAAUUUAGCACUCAUAGUAUAUAGUUUGUUAUUUCUUCCCUAUUUACUUUGUUAAUUAUUAAUUCUUCUUUUUGUCAAUAGCAGCUUUGAAUUAUUUGGCAGCUUUGAAAAUAAAUCUUUUUUUUUUAAUCAAACAAUUUAAGAGUAGUUCUUAUUUUCAUACAUAACUUUUGAUGACUAUUAUCUAUUUACUAAUUCCAAGAAAAUCUUACUUUAAAUCAUAUAUUCACAUAUACUAUUUUAAAUUAUGUAUGUUUCUCUAUUUCUCUUUGUUUACGUCAAAGUUUAGAAAAGUUAUGUAAUCAAUAUUCCUACUAGAAGAUUUCUCUUAAAGAAAAAUGUCAAAUGUCACAAAACUACAUGUGGAAGAAUUGUCAAAUGCAUACGUUGAAUUAAUAAAAGUUAAUUGAAUUGAUGGUGCAUCAAAAAUCCUCUCCUUUUCUUGUACACUAGAGGUUACGAAAACUCAAAUCACCGAACUCGUAGUUAUUAACACAUACGAACAUAUGUCAAUUGUUCAAUUAUACUCAGUUUGAGUCUCCCUCUCUCGUUCAAUACAAUAACCCGGAACCUCGGAGUUUGGAAGGGAUAACAACAAAACAUUACUUAUUAUAUAUUAUAAUCUAACACUUUAAAAUUAAUAUUAAAAUACAAAAAUCGAAAAUGUGAAGGAGGACGCGUCCCUGGUCCCUUAAUAAAUUCGCCACUGCCAUCAAUCCUUCUAUCUAAAAAGAGAGAAAACAUGUUAAUUAUCCUUGAUCAUAGUUAAUUUCAUUUUAGUCGAUGAUUGUGAUGUUUGUUUGAUUUUAGUUUGUAUACUUAGUGUGAUUAGUUUUUAACUUGUGUCAUGCACGCGUGAUAUUUAUGUUUCAUUUUUAUUUUAUUGCAUAACUUGAUUUUUUCUCCCUAACAACCUUUUCUUCUUUUUGUCGGACAAUUGGUUAAUUUUCCUCCCAAUUAUGGUUUAAGAUUAAACUCAUAAAAAGUUCUUAAAAUGAAAUGCUAUAAUGAUUGCUAGACAAUUCUACUUUGGUUUACCAUUCUAAAUUAUAGAAACUUUAAGAUAAGAGAGAUAGUGAAUGAAGAAAAAAUACAAAUUAAAAGAAGAUGCCUUUUUCUUAUAUACGUGCAUAUAGAUAUUCUUAAAGAAGUUAAUUGAUGGGAUAUUAUAUUUUCAUAAAUCGCAUACUAUCAACUAAGGACAUAUUUUUCUAAUUUCUAUUGAUGUUUGAAUUGGUCUUUGGAUAUGCUUUCAUUUUUUCUAAUGAUUACGGAUUUCUUGGAUCAAAUCCAAUAACUUCUCAAUUUGAUCGGCCUAGUCCUAGGUGGGUAGAUCAAUUGAACAAUCCACGACUAAUGAAAGAUAUUAUAAAGUGCAUGUUUUAUGUAUCAACUUGAAACAUCGAUCAAAUGUAAAAGAUUUUCGAAAGAUAUAUUUUUAAAAUAAACACAUCUAGAAAAACAUAGAAAACCAAAAAAGAAAUAGGAAGAAAAUAAACCACCCAAAUUGAAAACAUAAACAUUUCUUCUUAUUUAGAAGGCUAUCCAAAUGGUGUGCAAAGUGUUUUAUAACCCUUCAUAUUUAAAAAUUACUAAAUAUUCAUUCAUUGUAUUUUGUGCUAGAAUUAAUAAUUAUAUGUUUACUAAUUAUUUCCAUUUAGAAGAUGUAAUUAUUUCCUUCAUUGUUACAAGUUUUAGUUUUGUUGAGUUAUUAAAAAUUGAAAGAGUUUUUGAUUUUGUUAAGUUAUUAGUUAUUUAUAGGUUACAAUCAAUGUAAUCAAUUCAUAAAAUCAUUUAAUUUUUUAUUGGAUUAGAAUAAAAAUAGUAAAGGACAGUAUAGAUGUAAUUUCAAAAACCUACUCCCCGAUGCUAUUAUGUUUCUUUGACUAAAUAUGUUGACAGCUUUCUUAUAAAGAACACAUUUUCUUUCGCUUCACACCCAAAACAAAAUGUGUGUAUGUCACUGAGUGUCAUCAACAAACUUCUAGUGAGAACGUUUUGGUAGAUUAGUAUUUAACAAAGUCAUCAAAAAUUCUACUUUUUUUUUUAGGAUCCAACAUUCCACCGAUAGCAAGAAAACAAAUCAAUAAUCAGAUUCUCUGUUAAGGCGAGGAACGAAGAAAGCAUUUAAGGCGAGAAAUGUAAUGCAUCAGAGUUAGGUUAAUAUUAUUGACACAGAGAUAGAGUAGAAUUCACAUGAAGAGAUUCAGAACUUUUAUACUUCAUUUCAUCUUUUUCUUCUACAAGUUUCUCCAAAAUAGAUUUCAGUACUUGACAAAGAAAAGAAACCCCAUUAUCAUAACAAGGCUCAGAUUUUUAUACUAAGCAGUUAUUAGUAUCACAGUAGAGCAAAUUAGAGUUGUAAAAUGUGCAGAAUAAAGAAAGAAAGAAGGAAAGACAAGGUUUAGGACCUUUCUUUCUCAUUACAAUCUUCUGUUUCUUCCUCUUCUUUAAUGGUUUCUAAAGCAGGAGAUGAAGAAGCUCUGUUUGGAAGAACAAAUAAAGCCGGUGAUUUCUCCAUCCAGUACAACAUCUGAACUUUCUCAGCCAUUCUUUUGUUUUAAACUCAGAACUGAAGCUUUGAUUCUAUCCCAGAAAGAAAAAAAUCAAAUGAUGAGCCUCUUUUUCCUUUCUGGUUAUGAGAAAUGGAGGAAGAUGAAGUAAGUGGAAAAUGGAGUCUUUCCUUUAUAUAAAGAAGACGAAACCGAGUGGGAGUCAACAAACCAACCCCACGUGGAAAGUUAACAAUUACGCCAUGCCUUUCAUCACAUGUGAAAAUGAUUUUAGACUUUAAAAUUUUUCCAUGUGAACGAAAUGACCUGGAAUUCCAAUAAGUUGGGGUUUGUUGGUUCAGUUGGGAGAAAUUUUUUAUUAUUACAUCAUCUUUACACUUGUUUUUGUUCCAAGAAGCUUCCAUCUCUUUGAAAACAGAGAUCCAAGCGAUCGAUAUGUUCAGGAGAAAAGGGAAUUGAAACCUGCAAAUACGAGUAAAAGAAUUGGGGGGGUUAUGAGUCAUCGGGAUAGUCCUCCACGACGUCUUCAAAAAUGGGUUCCAACGAUGGGAUGGUAGAGGGUUUCUGGGGGUAAGAGAUGAGAAUUGGAGCAACCACAACCCAAGAAUUCAAUUUCAUGAUGUUCUUCGCCAUUGGUGGAGCUUCUUCUAGGUAAAGCUUGGCUAAUUUAUUUGAAUCUUCCCUCUUCCUUCUGUUCAAGAAAGAAGAGAGAGAGAUUGGAAACUUUUUUUGUAGUGGUCAAAACAAAUGACAACUUUUUCUAAUGAACAAUGGAUGGAAAUUAAAGAUUGUAUUGAGUUUAAGAUGAAGAUGGAGGGAGUUUAAUAUAGAUAAAGGAAGAGAAGGAAAAUGGAAGGACAGCAAAAAAAAAAAAAGGAAAGCAGUUACUGAAUGAAUGAUGGUUUAUGGAUGCACGUGGAACAAUGCAAGGAAAUCAUCAGAAACAGAAACACCAAAAUUGGGAGAGUAACAACAGCCACAGAAAACAAAAUUACCAAAAGGUAUAAUCAUUUUUGGAAUUGCCUUUCACACUUCAAAGGUUCUAUUCCGAUAUACUUCGAUCCGCAACAUCCAGUAAAAUUGUAAUGGAACAGAAAGAUUAGCAUAACCUUUCCACAACAACACAAAAAUAGGGAGAUAGUCCAAUAAUCCGCAACAUCCAGUAAAAUUGUAAUGGAACAGAAAGAUUAGCAUAACCUUUCCACAACAACACAAAAAUAGGGAGAUAGUCCAAUAAUCUCGUUAUAAUUAUAACGAGGGAACAUAAACUAGUCCUACAAGUCUACAAAUCAAUACAAACUAUAUAACCUCACUCAUUACUUAAUAUGAAGGGAAAGAUAAAAGAAAGAAAAUGAUAUAAUGAUUAUCUAGUUUACCACACUAAUUUCUUAAUAGGAAGAGGAAUGAUCAAGAUUGAAAAUAGUAGAAUAAUUAUCUAGUUUAAUAGACUUAUCACAACUAGAAAGAACCGUUUCUUCAAGCAAAGAUAACCAUGGAUUUGACUCAAAUCUUCAAACAAACAUAUCAACUAAACCAACGAUGCACACAAAUUUGAGAUAACCAUCGAUGUUUUCAAGAGUCAAUUGAUUACAUGAUUUCAUAUAUCUGCUCAGCAUACCUAUACUAAUAAUUGAUUGUCCAAUACAAUGAGAAGGAGAAAAUUAACAAAUAUAAAAUGUGUCCCUUUAAAAUGGUAAAACGUUCAAGACUAAAAGUAAAAAACCCAAAAGAACACCCAUAGAUUAAACAUUUCAAUAUAGAACCAAAUAUGUCAACCAAAUCAAUAUCAAAAAUUAAAUCAUCGUUUAACAGUUAACAGGCAAGAAAUCCCAGUUUCAAGUCUAACAAGUUGGAAGCAAAAAGUGAUUCGAUUUUCAUCACUCCUUGAAUAGAAGCAGGAAGUAUUCCAGAUAUGUAACUUCUUGUAAGAUGCAGAAAUAUGUUUCACAGAUGAGUAAAUACUCAAAUUCACGAGCAACAGAAAAUAAAGGCCACACAAGCUCACAAAAUAGGCUACAGUUUGAUGAAUUCAACAAGUAGAUAAGUAGAGACAGUCUAGAAAUCGUUCUCAUAAACUUAUCCAAAGUAAAAAAGAGAAAAACCAAAGAGACUUUCUACUUCAAUACUACAAAUCCAUUUCGGACAAGCUAUACAAGCAUGAAACCUUCUCAGCACAGUCCAACGCAACUUAAUGAAAAUCUAAAUAAAUGAUAAAUGGGUGCCUUAGAAGCACGGAUACAAACAAUCCAAAGAAUGCUUACAAACAGAUCACAACAUAAGGGAGCCCACAUACAGAUCAUAGAACCCCAAUUCAUCUGGACUCCACUGUUUCCAAUGCAGAAAUAAUAUGUUCUGAUGAAUUACAAACAAUCCAAAGAAUGCUGAGUUAUAACGAGACAACUAAUAAUAUAAGAUCAAUGCAGAAAGAGGAUAAAUGAAAACACCUCCAGAAAGAAAAAAGUAUGCCCUGCAUUCAGUGUAAUGUAAGUAAGGAAUAAUCACAAAAGGGCUAUUCUCAAUAAUACAACCGGAAAUGCAACGAUAUGAAUCGAAACAAAAAAUCUAAAACUUGAGUUCAAAACGGAACUACAAUGCUUCCAUCUCCGAAAUGAAGCAAGCUUUUCCACAUUAAAUAAAUCCUUAUAUCCGGAGAUAUAGUCAUUUGAAGACAAUAAAAAGAAACAUCUUUAAAACUCCAAAACUGAAACUACAAAGUAAGAGUUCAAAUGCGAAAAACAAAAAGAAAAAAAAAAUCACUCUCAAUCCUGAGGAAUUUCAACAUCCCCAUCAGUAAUUUCCUGCUGCAAAUCCUUCGGGUCCUUACCAUCGACCGUACACCCAACAGAAACGCAAGUACCGAGAAUCUCCUUAACGGAUCCACUGAGAUCCUUAGCCAUAGACCUGGGGCGCAUAACCCUAGCAAUCUCAAUAACAUCGUCAAGCGAGAUAUUACCAUUGUGCUUGAUGUUCUUGGUCUUCUUGCGGUCGCGUUCGGGCUCUUUGAGGGCCUUGAUGACCAAAGCAGCAGCAGAGGGAACCACAGAGACCUUGGCUUGACGGUUCUGGACAGUAAGCUUGACGGUAACUCUGAGACCCUUCCAUUCCUUGGCAGUCUCCUUGGCAAUGUCUUCUCCGAUCUUCUUUGGGGAGAGACCUAGAGGACCGAUUUUGGGAGCGAGAGAACUGGCGGCUCCGACCUCACCUCCGGUAACUCGGACGAAAACCUCGACGACCUGAGAAGGAUCGAGCUUGGGCGGCAUAAUUGAAUAAUGGGAUUAGUUGGAUUGAAAUUCUGAGUUCAGAGGCGAUGGGCGGAGGCGGAAAUCGAAGGGAAGGGUAAGGUUUUGAAGGAACGUAUAAAAGCUAGGGUUUUACUCCUUCUCAAGCGCCUGCCAAAUUACUAAUUUCUCCUUUUUCUUUCACAUUUUCAUUCCCUUUUGGGCUUUUUGGCCCGGCCCAUCCAUUCCAAUAAUUUCCUCUCUUUCCCUAAAACUUAAAAAGCAAAUAAUAAAAAAAACCAAUUUCAAUAGAAAAAAUUAAAACAAAAUUUGAAUUGCUCUCGUUGAGAGUCGAACUCAAGACCUCCCGCUUACUAAACGGGUGCUCUAACCAACUGAGCUACGAGAGCACGUUGAACUUUCCGGUUGUCUUUUUCAUAAUUAUUAAUUAACUUUCUUUUUAAUCUUUCGCAACUCUAAAAUCGUAUUCGGUAUAGUUCACCAAAUUGGCCCAUCCGUUUUUGCAAGGUUAAAUUAUCCUUAACGUUGUUGAUGCCAUAUUUAAAUUACAACACUUCAAUCACUAACAUAUCAGCUUUUCUAGGAAUUAUCUCUUCAAAAUCGCUUCCAUUUAUAUACCUAACAAUCUCUUGGUUUGGAACAAUUUCCUUCUUUUUUUCACUUGCUAGCUCCAAGAUCUGAAACACCAACUGCCCAUUUUCUUUUUGAGACACAUGAAGUCAAACACAUGUGAUAUCUGCUGCCCCAUUUAUUUGAUUUCACAAGGUAAGAUUUCAAAUAUAUAAAGUAAAAAGGUGAGUGAAAUUAGGCUUUUAGAUCAAUGGUAAAAAAAGAUUAAUAGGAAGAUGCUUCACAUGAUACUCACAAACAUUAUAGUACGAUCAGUUUUUUGUGGUUUAGUUUCUUCAGCUCAUGAAAGCUUUUAAGUUCCCAAUAAUGGUUGGCUCCUAACAAGGCCAAAGUCUCUCUCAUUUGUUUAAUAAACUCAUCACCAUCUAAAAUUAUAUUAUAUAUAAAUAUAUACAAACCUAUAUUCUUCUCAUGCAUACACGUCGUCCAUGGAGAUUAUCAAUGACCACAAUAAGGUUAUUCUGAUCAAUGGCGAAGCUGGGAGGAGGAGGAACAGUGAGAGAAGGAAAGAGGUGGGAAUAAUUUCUUGUAUUUCUGAUGAAGAUUAUGACCAUGAUCGAGAUCAUGUGGUGAAGGGAAUGAUACUAGAUCCAACUUUGCCCAUAUUGAACAAAUGGAACAGGGUUUUUCUAGUGGCUUCUCUAGUCUCACUAUUUGUUGACCCCCUCUUCUUCUUCCUACCGGUGGUGAACGCGGAGGACGGGUGCAUCCAAAUGAGUACAGAAUUGGGUGUGGCGUUGACAGUGGUCCGAUCCAUGGCGGAUGUGUUCUACAUAGCGCACAUACUCAUUAGGUUUAGGACAGCUUAUGUAGCUCCCUCCUCCAGAAUCUUCGGGAGAGGAGACCUCGUGAUUCACCCUUCUAAGAUCGCAGCAAACUAUCUUGGUUUCGAGUUUUGGCUUCAUUUUGCUGCUGCAUUGCCUCUUCCACAGGUCCCUUCUCUUUUGUUGCAUUAUUCAUUACAAUAAUAUCGUUAUACUUACAAAAGUUGUAGAUAGUGUAUGUAUAUAUAUAUCAUCAUCCCCAACCUUAAACAAACGUUUCAAAACUAAGGUGUAUGAUCAAAAGUUGAAGGUAUAUCGUGAAUAAUAAAUAUUAACGGUGUGUACGAUGGUGAUCAGGCAUUCAUAUGGAUUGCAAUUCCAAAAAUGAGGGGAUGGAGUUGCAUAGUUCGGUUGUGCAUUCUGUUUCAGUACGUGUUGAGGUUGUAUCUCAUCUUCCCUUUAUCAGAUCAAAUCAUUAAGGCCACUGGAGUUCUGAUGAAAACAGCUUGGGUUGGAGCUGUUUAUAACCUAAUGCUCUUUAUGCUAGCAAGCCAUGUAAUUACCUUUCAAACUCUCUUACAUACAUCCAAUUUUAAUUCAUUUAAAAUAUUUGGUUGGUUUCUAGGUUUUAAGUCCCCUUUUUAUAUCAUUCUUAUCCUAAAAUAUAUAUUACUCAUUUAGUGGUUAAGUUGUAAGUUUUAGGUUUUGAGUUUGAUUUUUAUUUAGCUAUAGAAUUUUAAAAUGUUGUAAUUUUUUUUUAUAUUGAAAUUUGAGUUUUGUUUCAAUUUUGUCACUAGAUUUUAAGGUUCUCACUUUUACUUAGCUAAUAGGCAUAAACACAAUAUGAUUAUCAAGGUUAAAACUGUAAAUCUUGAAUAGAAACAAAAUUGCAACAUUUUAUAGACUAAAUUGAAAUCAAACUCAAAACUUAAAAAAAAUGUGUAAUAAUAUUUUUGGAAUAUGAGAUCAAAUAUAAACUAUUUCCAAAAAGUUAAAAUCCAAAAAGAUUUUUUUUUCAAUUAUAGAAAGAUACCAUUGAACUUGUUUUUAAAACUACUUUCUAGAGUAGAAAAACCCUUACUUAUUAGAUCUUAGAACACAAAGUCGAUGAAUAAGGGUUUACGUAAGCAGGGUUGGGUUGGGCCUUGGAAGAAAAUUAUAAACCAAUCCAAAAUAUUCAGGUUGACUAGAAAUGAACACUAUCUAUUUAAGCAAGUGUCAACGGCCAAUUCAAUCCGGUCUAAAAAAUUUGAGUUUGGUUGGGGUUGUUUUUUUUUCACAAAAUUUUAUAUUGUUUUUUAAUAUGGGUAAGCAAAUUUUCAUUCAAAAUGAGGUUUACUUUUACGUUUUAGGUUAUAUAUAUUAUACAUAAUUAGGUUGAGUCGGGUCAACCCAACCCUUUACUUACUCGACUAUCUAAUUCAACCUUAUUUUUUAUCCAAUUUUCUAACUCAACUCAAUCCAAGGUUUAUGUAAGUUUAAUUGAUGUAUAUAUGUUUAUAGGUAUUGGGGUCGUGCUGGUACCUUCUAUCCAUAGGAAGACAAAUGGAAUGCUGGAAAAAAGUGUGCAAUUUGGGGCAUUACUUGGAUUGUGAAUAUGAGCAUUUUUAUUGUAAAGCUGCACAAAGAGAUCAUCCUGCUUGGUGGUUUCAUCUUAAAGCAAGCAAUAUCUCAGAUUUAUGUAAUCCAACUGCUACCAAUUUCUUCCACUUUGGGAUUUUUUCUGAUUCUUUUGCUUCAACUUCUUCCCCCUUCAUCACUAGGUACUUGUACUGUUUCUGGUGGGGAUUGAGGAAUUUGAGGUACUUUCUCUUAAAACUUUGCUGAUUUGUGAUUCGUGUUGAAUGUGUGCUAAAAGUAAUUUGAAUGUUUUGUUUUUGCAGCUCUCUAGGACAAAAUUUGCUAACAAGUAGCAAUGUGGGAGAGAUCAAUUUCGCUAUUGUCAUUGCCAUUCUCGGGUUGGUGCUUUUUGCUCUUCUCAUUGGAAAUAUGCAAGUAAUUAUCUAACCUUCCUACCCUUUUUUUUCUUUACCAAAACAGCAUUUCUCUUUUUAGGUAUAAUUGUAACAAACUUGUACAGUUUAUGCAAAUUUUGAAUUUUAAAUUUGAUUUGGUGAUUUUGGAAUUAUAUGUGUAUAAUUAGACAUAUCUCCAAUCAACAACAUUAAGACUAGAAGAAUGGAGAAGAAGAAGAAGAGACACGGAGCAAUGGAUGCAACACAGACAAUUACCAAAUCAAUUGAAACAAUGUGUAAGAAACUAUGACCAAUUCCGAUGGAUUGCAACCCACGGCGUCGACGAACAACAAAUUCUAAAAUCCCUUCCUCUCGAUCUCCGACGACACAUCAAACGCCAUCUCUGUUUAGAUCUCCUCCGUCAAGUUCCUCUGCUAGACGAAAUGGAAGAAACAAUGUUAGACGCAAUUUGCGAGAGAUUAAACCCCUAUUUAAUCACUUCCAACACCUAUUUAAUUCGAGAAGGCGACCCAGUUAACGAAAUGCUGUUCAUAAUCCGUGGGUAUUUGGAUUCCCACACCACCAACGGCGGCCGGACUGGGUUCUUCAACUCGAGCCGCCUUGGGCCCAGUGAUUUCUGCGGUGAGGAGUUGCUACCUUGGGCUUUGGUUGAUGAUCCUAGGACGGCAGCGGUGUUUCCGUCGUCAACCAGGACGGUGAAGGCGGUGACGGAAGUGGAAGGGUUCGCGCUUGUGGCGGAGGAUUUGAAGUUUGUGGCAGCGCAAUUUCGGAAGCUGCAUAGUAAACAGAUUAGGAGUACAUUUAGGUUUUAUUCGCAUCAAUGGCGGACAUGGGCGGCGUGUUUCAUUCAGGCGGCGUGGUUUAGGUAUAAGCGGCGGAUGAAGAAGGAGGAAGAAGAUGAGAUUAAUGUUGUGAGGAAGAUGAAUGUUGUUCAUCAUAGGUCGUUGGUGAAGCCACUUCAACUUGAUUUCUCUGUUGAACAUAGAUGACGUUUUUUCUCCAAAUGACAUGUAUGGGAACAUAUCAAUAUAGAUAUUAUUGAUAUUAGAAUUGCUAAUCUUACAAAAAUGAAUCACAAACUAAUCCAUCCGAAUCUGAAUCCCAUAGUAUGUUUUGAUUAAGGAUUAUUAUAAUAUUCUACUUACUUAUAAUAUUUCAAGUGUACAUUAUUUUAAUUUUGCUAAUGACAAUAACAAUAUAUUUGGUGUGAAUUUUUAAAUAGUAGUUAUUGUAGAGUAGAGAUUUAUAAUCUUAACAUGUUUUAUCAUGUUAGAGAUGUGUCUUAAAGAUUUAAUGAAUUGAUUCAUCUCUACUUAAUAUAGAAUGAAGAUUAACCAAAAAAAAAAACAUACGGUACAAAUUUGUUUUUAUUAAAAAGAUGUAUUUUAUUUGAUAUUUAAUUGAGUAGUGAGUCAAAGCAAGUAAUGAGCCAAAAAUAAUGAUAGGUUUGAUGUAUGAUGAUGUUAUUUUUAGAUUUAUUUUGAUUUGGUAGGAAGUAUAAAUUUAGAUAUUUAUUGUAUUGUGAAAUCAGAAUUUGAAAAUUGAAUUUAAAAGAAAAGAAAAAAGUGGAAGAGAGUGUUCCAUUAUGAGUACUCACUCCACUUGGAUUGUGGGUUAAGUCCAAAUGAUUUGGGCUGAAGCCCAAGGCCAAGCCCAUUUUCUGACCAAUGUCACAUCCCCUCAUAACCCUCCUUCUUUCUCCACAUUUCUUUAAGACUAAAUUCUACUUAACUACUUAAAACGAGCUGCCUUAAUGUAACUUUUGAAUUGUUGUAAUAAUAAAAAAGAAACAUUUACCCAAAACACAUGAUUAAUUUAAAUGAAAUGAACAAAGUUUAUAUGUAAUAUGUAUAACAUUAAUUAAUCAUGAUUUGAUGAGAUAAGACAAGUCAAGUGAUGUAAUUAAUAUUUGGUAAUUUCCCUAAGUAUUAUUUUGAAGGAAAAAGAAAAUAGGAAUUGAUUUGACAAAUGAGGAUAUGUGGGGUAGUACUUAUGGAAGAGUUGAGAUUCCAACUCCAAAGGGCAUAUGUUUUCUAUGUGUUUGACUUAUUAUGUUCUAUGACCAACCAUUAAACUUUUUUUUUUUUUAAAAAAAAAGAUGCUUUCUUUUUCACUAUAUUUUAGGCUUUUUUACUCCUUGGAAAAAGAAUAAAAUUGCUUUUAAUCUCACUUUCAAAGGCUUUUUAUUUAUUUUAUAUAAUUAAAAUAAAAUAAAAAUUUCUCUCCUUUGGGUGGUCCAACAUAAAAACAAGCCUAAAAAUCAUCCCCAUUUAUUUCCAUCCUCAUAUCUUAAAAGUGAUAAACAAAAAUCCUACCUAAUUUAAAACGUGUCUCACUUAAAGUAACAAAAAGUUCUUCUACUUUGAACUUUUAAACCUAGCUAUAUUCUUAGUAAUCUUUUAACAUGGUAUUAGUUAGAUUAUAAGAUUUGGAUAGGUUAGUUUAAUUUCUACCGAGAAUUUGGUUUAGUUGAAAGGAAUAGAAUCGAGUGAGUUUAAUUUAUUUUUAUUUUCUUUUUUAUAAAAGUAGGGAUAUUUUAAUCGAGGAAUACUUUUAGUUUAUGUCGUCUUUCUCAUGUGUGAUGUUUGAGUGGUAUCCAAGUAGAUUUAGCAAAGAUGUUAUGUAAGUGAGAGUGUGUGUGUGUGUGUGGAAUAUUGAAAGCAUAUAUACACAAAAUGAGUUGAUGGGGCCACACCCACAAAGCAAAGCAAAGCAUGCAUGGCCGAAAUUUUGGAAAAGAAAAUGUGCUAUUUCAUUCAUCUCCAUAAUUGCACAAACGCCAUCAUAAAAAUCCAUACCUUAAUUCAACAACACACAUCCAUCUUCUAAUUUCCUCUCAUCCUCCCAUUGAAAUUAUUGAAUUUAUAAAUACAAGGACUUAGAAUCAACUCAAAUUACUACAAAAACCACCAUAAAAUAUGGAAAAGAAACCACUUUCAUAUCUACUACUCCCGGUCUUGUCAAAGACAAAAAAGAUACGUCUAGAAGAGAAGAUGGGUGGACGGAUGGAACUCUGUUUCUUGUUUGGUUCUAAAAGAUUUUAAAAUCUAUUGUGAUCAAUAAUUUAAUGGAUACUUUUUUUUAUAUAUAAAAAGUGAAAUUGUGAAGUCUAAUAAGUUACGAGCUAUUAAGAUUUACAAUGCAAGGAGUUAAUUAGUAACUAGACAUAAUUCUGACGUCUUUUAGUUGUGAAGUUCAUAAACUCGUUGGAACAAACUUCUCUUACAAUAGGUUAAAUGCAAGAUUAGGGCAUUUAAGAACUUAAUUUUCAGCAAAUUAAGGGUAAACUUGAAAAAGAUAUGCAAGAUUUUGAGCCAUGGUAAAGUUGAAAAUUUUCUAGAAGAAUUGAAAAUUAUGAAAUAUAUAUAUAGUCGAAUUUCUUAUACAAAUGGUAUAAAUUAUUAAUUCUUUAUGCAAUAAACCCAUAACUAAAACAACACCAUUUCUUGUGGUGAAGUUCUUCCAAAUCUAUGUCAAAUCAAUUUGAAUCUAUACGAGAUCACAUAUAUUUUCUUUUUUUGUUUUAAUUUGAAUCUAUACGAGAUCACAACUUAGAUUUUCUUUUUUGUUUUGUUGUGUACGUAGUCAUGUCUUAACUUCAUCUUUGAAUCAUAGCGAAUCUUCCUCUUAACAACUUGUCUAUUGGACACAAAUACACAAAGCUUUUGGUACCACUUAUUAGUACGUACAAUAGACACUUCUAAUUUUCAUAUCUCCCUUGAAAAAGAUAUCAUAUUUUCUUAUAUUUUCCUUUUUGCUUUUGAUAUUUCAUACUUAAAAACUUCAUAUUCUAUCAAAACAAUCAAAUUAUUUAUAUAUAUAUAUAUAUAUAUUCAAAUCAAUCCAUUAGUAAAAUGUAUGAAGAGUGUCAUGUGAGAAAGUAUUGACAAAUUAAUUUAGUAUUAAAUUGGGUACCUCAUCAUGACCAAUUUCUUCAUGCCUAAAUUAUGUGCAUAUAAUUUGGUCCUUUUGUUUUGAUUUAAUUUUAAUUCUUAGAGCACUCAUUCUCCCAAUUCCCAUAUCUCUUUAUCUUUGGUUAUAAUACUAAUUAAAUACUUUUCCUUUACUACUACACUCAUGUUCUAUAUAUGGUUUUAUUUAACAUACAAUAAUAAUAUCAAAUGUAUGUAUGUAUUCAUAUGUAUUCUACACCAUAAAUUAUGAUUUAAAUUGGUUGUACGGACGAACAUGCCCUCCAAAAUUAAACAAUAUGUCUUUUUGCCUUUUUCAAAUGGUGGACAAGUUUCUAAAACAAAUUAUAUAUUAAAGUUUUCAAUCACUUAUUUCAUUGCAAUGGUUUGCUUUAAUAAUUUUUAAGAUGAGUUCUUUGAAGGGUUGGAUUUUUUACAAGAUUUUACAAGUUUGAUUAAUUGUUCUAUAUCGAUUAAAAUUGAAGAAUGAAGAUGAAUUUCAAAUUGAUAAAAUAAGACAAUCUUAUUUAAUUCACAUAAAGCAUUUGUAACAAUUUAAUCAAUUAAUUAAGUUGAAUAAGGGCUACUUUCCUUUUUGGGUGUAAGUAGGUGAUGGAUCCAAAAUUAAAAAAGAGAAGAUAUAGUAAUUAAGAAGAAAAAAGGUUAGGCCUAUGGAGUACAAAAUAGAGAUAUUACCUUUUGAUGACACUUAGAUAAAAAAACAAUUAAACAAUAAUAAGUCAAAAAGAAAGCCUUUAGGAAAGAAAAUGUAAGUAAUGUAAUAAACUCUUUUAUAUAAAAUAUUCAAACAAAUGAAGCUUUUGAAUUAGAAAUUGAUGUCCCUCUAAUUCCUCUUCAAAAGCAACCAACUUUUUAUUUAUUUAUUUUGCCUAAAGGUUUGUUCGUUAACACCAUGUUUUGUUUUCACCUUUUUUUUAAUCACUUUCUCUUGGAAAAUGCUCAAAUUUUGCAUAAACAUAGGCUUUUUAUUGAAUGCAAUUUGGAGUUGGAUGUGAUGUGACAAAAAAAAAAAGGGCAAUUACCCACCUCUAAAUAAAUAAAUAAAUAUAUGAAUUGAAAUGAGAAUUGAUAACAAAAGUAUAAAAUACCAAUCUCGAUAAAAACAUGGAAGUAUAGUAUUUUUGGUUUACAAAAAUAUGAAUAUGAAUAGUUAAAAGUGAAUUUAAAUUGAGUAUGGUAGAUGGGAUAUUUGAUAAUACAUGUAAGUUUGAGGGGAAAAAAAAAGAAUGAAUUAAUAAUGGAAUUUAAAGUUAAAAGAAUAGAGAGUGAUAAUAAUUAUGGUUAUUGGGGUCCAACUCCUAAGUUUUGAAAAGUGAGAGAGAGAGCUUAGUUUUUCACCCAAAGGGCACACCAUCAUAUGACCAACUUGGUCCAUAUUAUGAAUCUAUUUUACAUAUAUAAAAACUAAAUUCAUGUUUCUUCUUCACCAACAGUUAAUAAUGAAUUAUGUACAUUUCUGUUUUCUUUUUCAUUUUUCCAUCGUUUUAAUUCUACAAAUACAUAUUUGAUUUCGAUUUCGAGUAUAUGUUGUUAAAUUUAGUAUUUAUUUAUGUAAAUAAAUUAUGGAUCCUUUUGGUAUAUCAACGAAUUGUUACAAUCAAAUUUUAAUAAUGAGUCAGUUUUUACAUGAAGAUUGUUAAUUAUUAAUAAACAUAUUAGAUUAAACUUAAUUGAAUAGAUGCAUUUGUUAAAGUUGUUUCACCUAACUAGUUAAUUUUUUUUAAUAGAAAGAAAUCUGGUCUUACUUUAGUUUAUAUAAAAUAAAUGAAAGUUUAUGAAAUAAAGAGGUAGCUUAUUUGAGUACGCUAAGUUCACAUAGAUGUCAAGAACCUUUCUUUCUCUAAAACGUUUUUUUAAGAGUGAUAGUAUAAAUUGUAAGAUGUAAAGUGAAAAGAGUUUGAUUUGGUGCAACUUGAGUGAAAGAAAGGGUAUAUUAAAUGUCAAAAUUGAAAAGUAUAUAAUGUAAAAUGGGGAAAAGAAAUAGAGAUGAUGAAGGUGAGAAUGAGUAGAAAGUGCAAUGAAAGAAAAGAGGAUAAGCAGAAGAAUGGAUGUAGGUAUUUGGGGAUUGAACUGACAAUGAAAAAGAAAUGGUAAAACAACAACAACAAUAACAACAACAAAAAAGAAAAGAAGAGAAAAGAAAAGAAAAGGCUGCAUAUAUCAUAUCUCUUCCCUUUUCUUUUGGACUCACUCUCUACUUUCUACAUACUUCCAUUUCAUUCCUUCCUCAAACAAUCACCAUUAUGGAAAUCUCUUUUUCUUUCUUUUUCUCUCCCACUCUUCCCUCUUUCAAUUUCAUCUAGUAUUAUAUUCUUACCAACUUUGGUCAAACAUCAAAAAUCCAUUAUUCAUUUAUAAUUAUACUCAUUUUCUUUUAUAUCUUAUAAACCUAGAAUUAAUUGACAUAGAUAGUGAAAAUGUUGAGCAUAUGAUUUUACCAAAAGUUUGGAAGAGAGAGAGAAUAGUGAGAUAUAAUGAGUAAAAGAGAAGUAAAAUUAAGAGAGAAAAGAUAUAACAUAACGUGGAAAAGAGUAGAUUAUAUAAUUACAUUAAAGAGAGAGUGAAUGGAUGGGAUAUAUAUGUCUAUAUACUUUAGUUUUGGACAGACAAAGGGUGGCCUUGCAAUGCCUAUGGCUUCCAAGACCAAAUAAUUAUAAGAACACAUUAAAUUAAUUAUUUACAAACCAAAAAACCAAAAAACCAAAAAACAAAAGGGGCUUUACUUUUACAUAAAAUUUAUACAAUAUAAACCCUACACAAAGGUCAUUUGCCUUCUUUGGUCCCUCUUUUCCAACCAAAUUAAAUUAAGUUAGUAAGGGGGCCAAUAUGCAACUUCUAACAUAUAUGUCUUCUUCUUCUUCUUUUUCUCUUUUAUCUCUCAGUGGUUUUUGUAAUUAAUUGAAUAAUUAUAUUGUUUGGUUUUGGGUCCUUCAUGUUUUUGGAAAUUGCAUAAUUACUAAAAGAAAAAACUUGGGGUGGGAGGGGGUGGAGGUGGGGGUUUAUCAUUAUUGACAUUGCUAUUUGCUAACUCUCUGUUGGGGAAACUUCCUUUGCCUCUCCCACGUCGGUUGCUCUUAUCACCUACUUUCUCUUCCCAUAUCUAUUUAUUCACACUUUUUCAAGUUGGCUUCAACAAAACCAAAACAAAACCCAAAAACCAACACAAAUAUGUUUCUAACUAAGUUUGAGUUUGAUUACUCUAAUUCAUUUUCUACUAUUCUUUAAGUUGGGUAUUGGAAGAGAAUUUUGUUUCAAAGUAAUUUAAGAAUCCUAAAUUUAAUGCGUUUCAUAUAUCUCUUGAUUAUGUCUACCUUAAUUCAUGUCAUGAAAAUAAAUACAUAUACAUAUAUGUUUUUAUUUAGUUCUGGAAAAAGGAAAAGUGGUAUAAUAAAACUGAAUUUAUUUUAGAAUAAUAAUCUUAAAAGAAAGAAAAGUCUUUUUUUCUUUUUCCUUUUUGGAAUUUGGAAUUAUUUUAGAGGUAGGUGUGAAUGAAAGAAACACCAAUAAUUUAAAAGAGAGAAUAAUAAUGUGAUAGGGCUUUAUUUUAAAAUUUAUCCACAUAAGGAUAUGAUGAAUGGUUCCCAAUAUAUAGAGUUAUUGUUUAGUACUAUUUGUUGGUUGUCCAAUAGCAUUAAUUAGUACCAUCAUCCACUUCAUCCUAACUCUCUCAACCAAAAAUAAACCUAAAUCAUUUUUCUUUAAGUCAACAACAAUAUCAUACCCAAAUUCAUUCAUUAAUUAGACCAUUCCAAUUAUAUAUGUGGAUUAAUCACAUAACUUACCUAAUUAACUCCAAGUUCAUUUAUUAUUUCAUUGCUAUUCCUUUUGGGACAUAAUUAAUUCUCCAGAUGUGAAUUGUAACAAAAUGCUAACAUCAUUAUGACCAAAAAGGGUGUUCUUUUUCUUCUUCUUCAAAGCCCCCAACAUCUCCAUUUACUUGCUUCACAAAAAGAAAACAAAAUAAAAACAAUCACUAUAUCUUGUUUCGUUAAGUUAGUUUACAAAUAUAUAAAUUUAAAUAUGAGUUAUUUUUAAAUAUAACAAAAUAAUAUUUUAAUCUAUCUAUACAUAUAGUAAUUUAUUUUGAUCUAUUGUAUCGUAGUUCAUCGUAGAUAUGUCAUGAUGUUUUAUUAUAUUUUUAAUAUUAUUUUUCUUUAAAGAUUGAUGAGGUGUAUGUACCAAAACAAGAUAAAUUUCUAAGCAUAGCCAUUACAUUACAAUAUUCUAAAUGAGCAUGUUCUUUUUAUGAAUGGUAUUUUUAUACAAUUAUAUUUUAAAUAUAUUCUUUUCUUUUCUAAAUUUUUUAUAUCAUACGUAAAGUUGAGAAUCAACAACUUUAAAAUUGACAGUACAGUUGAGUUAUACUUAUUUACUAUAUGUAAAGUGGAGAAUCAACAACUUUAAAAUUGACAGCACAAUUAAGUUAUACUUAUUUGAUCAUAUGUAAAGUGGAGAAUUAACAUCUUUCAAAUUGAUAAUACAGUUCAGUUAUACUUAUUUGACCAUACGGAAUCAAUAGCACAGUUAAAUUACAAUUAUUUUGACCUUUUUUUUUUUUGUAAAUCGUGUUUGAUUUAAGGACACACAUCCAACUUUAUUAUUUAUUUUUACUUUUAUUUUUCAUUUUUUUUUAAAUAGAGAACAAACAUUUUCUUGAAAGCUUAACACUAUGUAUAUACCUUUUGAACAAUAACAUUAAUAACACAUAAUAAGUUUGUUCCCUCUUUCUUUGGUAGAGUAAUUAUAACUAUUUUUUUAAGUAAAUAAGAAAAAUAGGGAGAUUUGAAUAUAAGAAUUUUUUUUAAUGAUAAUAUACUUAUAUGUCAAUUAAACGAAUAAGAAUAACAUUUUAAAGUUAUUUUUUAACAACACUUUCUUUAAAUAUCUACGAUGAUAUAAUGUGAUUUUUGCUUAAUCCCAAGCUAGUCAAAUUCUUUGAUCUUUAUCUUCCCACUGAUGCCUAAUGGAUGAUGAAUCUAAAAGGCUUUUUAAAGUCCAAUUCCAUCAAUAUUUGUUGAGGCAAAUUUCAACUAAAUUGUUUAUCGAUAGCUAAUCUUGUCCCUUAAAUAUAUGAUAUUCUUGAUCCUUCCCGGUUGAAAUCGUAAAUGAAUUGUCUCUCCUCUAUGAUGAUCUUUUCUAUAGGUCGAUCUAGUGUGAGUGGUCAAAUAUCGACCCAAAUUUAUAACAUUAUUUAUCGUAUCCUAAACUCUAAAAGAUAUCGGGAGUCUUUGUCAUAAAGAAUUACACACUAUUCAUAAUAAAGAAGUGAGAAAGUGCCCCAUAAUAUGUCGACCCGUCCUAGUUUCAAAAUGAAAGUUUCUAUAAAUGGUUUCAUCUCCAAAUUUUAACUAGCUAUAUCAAACUUAAUACUUAUGGUAUUUCCCCAAUAAAAAGAGAAAAUUUACUUAUCAAUCUAUAUAUAUAAUAUAUAUAUGGGAUUUUUAGUCUUAUGAAAAAAAAUAAAAGAUUGAAUGAAAGAAUUAAUUAAGAUAGAAGAAAAAGGUGGCAGCAACUCAAGAAGAAAAGAAAAAAAAAACAUACACACAAAACCAUGUGAGUUGCGCAUGCAAAAGCUAAUGCAUGAGGGACAAAACCAUAACAUAAACCAAUAUUAAUUAACUAAUUAAGAGUCUCUCUUAAUAUAUGUGUUGUAAUUAUGAGUUUUUAUAAUAUCUAUAAAAGAAGAAAAGAAGAAGAAGAAGAAAGGCCAAAAGCAGUGAAGUGAAGAGGAAUGGCCAGAGAAAGGCCAAAUUUUGGGGAUUGGGUAACUCAAAUUAAUUUUUUUAAAAAACAGUUUAUAUUAUUACUUUGUUAAUAUAUUAAAAAACGAUAUAUUAUUUAUUUAAUUCCUGCAAUCCAGGCAAUGGAAUGAACAAUAAAAAAAGGAUACAACAUUAUGUUAAACUAAUGAUUCAAUCUGACACAAACCUUGGUCAAAAUAAUGCUACCAAAUGCUCACACUCAUUAUAAUAUUUCUUCCACUUCUAUUUUUCAUUACUUCUCUUUCUUGUAUUACCUCAUCCAUUUAUUUAACUCAUUAAUUAGCUCAGCUCGUCUAUAUUUAAACUUAACCCUUAACCCUUCUACCUAAUGUAUAAUUACCCUUCAAAAUCAACAAAUUCCGUUUUGUUUUCCUUCUACAUACAUAUCUCUAUACCCCUUUUCUUUUUCUCAUCAAUCACUUCCGAAGUACACCAUAUAUACAAUCAAAAUUGGAGUCCAACAUACUGUGAUUUUAAUCCUAUGAAUGUUUGGAAUUAGAGUAUUAUUAAAAUACCAUAUAUGGAAGAAAGAAAAAAGGACCCUAAAAUGUUGGAAAAGGGUAAAAAUGAAUAGAGAGUUAAAAGAGGGGAAGGCAUGGGAUGGGGAGUGUGGGGACAGAAUGGUUGGAGAAGGUGAAAAUGGAGGAUAUGGGGAAGGCCAAAGGAGUAAGAGAGCUUUGUUUUUCUUUCUCUUUUAAUAAAUAAAAAUCAAAUGUUUCCUUUGAAUACAACAUCUUUGUCUACUUACCUAUCCUCUCUUAGGGCACACUUUCAUAACCCAUAACCCCCACAUGUUUUUUAUUUACUCCUACUCCCUCUCCUUCUGUUUUUCCCUAUUUUUAUAAUAUUCCUUUUCAUUUUUUAAAAAAAAAUUUGAACUUAUUUCUUUAUCCUUAUUACUUCAACUCAUACCAUGUUUGUAUUAUCAACGUUUAACUGUGAAAUUCAAUUCAAUUUCAUAAACCCAUGCAUAUGAAUUUGUGGUUUAUUGAGUGUAAAUAGCCCUUUAGUUUUUGAAAAUCAAAAGCAAACUAUUAAAAAAUGGCUUUUAAAAUUUAGCUCGGUUAAAAAGGUGAGAAAAGAAGAAAUAUUUAUACACUUCCCUUGAUUAUACCAAAUAAAACCUUGAUAAAGAGGGUUUAAUGGUAAACUUUUGACUAAAAAAAUGAAAAUGAAUGUUCAAAAUAGUCAUUUUCUGCAAAAGGAAAAAAGAAAAAGAAGAAGAAGAAAUGAAAUGAAAUUCAAUGAUGAAGUCUCUAUUGCACAAAGCUCAAGAUGGUAUAUGAUGCCAUUGCCAUCUGCCCCAUAAUCAGUCCUUUCUCUCUGAUUCUUCCCAUACUUUUCCUCAGUUAUAUAUAUAUUAUAUUAUUCCCUUCAUUUAAAUUAAAACUCUCUAUCUUUUUUUAACUCACUUUUGGGCUCUUCCUCUUCUUCUUUCCAUGGAUGUAAUUAAAAUUAAAGAGAAACAAAAACAUAUAUAAAUAAAUAACAUACCACCCAUAUCUUAAUGUCUACCAUUACUGCUUUUUCAAAAAUUAAAAGAAAAAAAAAAAACUAAUUAAAUCUUGUUAGGAAAAUGGACAGCAAGGAGGCCAUGUCCAUACUGAUCUUCUUAAAAAAAGUUUGCAUCUUUGGACAAACAAACAAAACUAUACUAUCAUUUUGGUUUAAACAAUAAUAAUUUUCAUUCUAUUCAAUACACACUUCACUAACUAAAAGUUGUAAACCUUUUAGCCAACUUUGGUUUUUCCUUUUUAUCAAUACCUUUUUGCUGAUCUCUCAAAGAGAAUAUUCAUCCUUUAGUGUUGUUUUAAUAAUCUUUAGAGGAUGUUUUUAUGUCUCCUGGAUUCUUAAUUGUUGCAUCAUAUUUACCUAUAAUGAAAUAUUUUGAUAUAAUAUCUAAUAAAAUUAUAAGCAUAUAUACAUAUGCACUAUUUAAUAUUUAAGUCCUUCAAUUUGAUUCCUCCAUAAUAUUGAUACAACCUUUGUUCUUAGAAAUACAAGGUCCAAAAUAUUCUACCCACAAUUAAUUUGAGAUAAUUUAGAAAAAAAAUAAAAGAUCUAAAAUUGUGUUAAGUUUUUUUCACAAUAUUUUUUUUUAAAAGAUGAUCUUUGAAUGUUUAGUAUAUGGAUAAAAAGUUGCUAUAUGGGAAUUCCAAAACAAGCCCUACCUUAAUGCAAUGAGAGAUGAGAAACCCUAACUAACCUAUUAAAUAAAUAGUAUACUCUUUGAGAAUUUAUUCUGCCAUAUACAAAUAAAUGUUUGCUUCUAAGUGCAUUUUCAUUAUUACUAUUAUCAUCCUAUUUUGGUUUAGUUAAUUAAACAUUCUAUAUAAAAAAAAAAAAAAAAAAAAAAAACUCCUAAUCUGUUUAUGUAGAAAUGAGUCAAUCAACCAUAAAAUUUGGUUUCUAAACAGAAAGAAAUAAUCUCUGGAGACUACAAUCAUAUUCUCUUUAUACACCAAAAGCUAUUAUUUUAUUUUCUCCAAUGGAUAAGAGCAAAGGGGUGGGAGACGAUCUCUUUCUAGAACUUUUAUUUCCUCUUAUAUUCUUAAAGGAAAAAAUAGGUAGGAUUUAGAGAAAAUUCUAAUUUAAAAUAUAGAACAUCGAUUACAUCAUGCUUUAGUGCAAGGAUCAACCACACAUGAUUGCUUAAUGAGCAAUAGGGUGUGUAAAGCUUUUUUCUAGCAAUGUUGAUAAAACUUGCCGCAGUGUUGUGACAUUGCCCGCACGUAGACGUUAGGGGCAUUUUGAUCAACUGGGCUCAAAUUAGGACCCCUAAGUUCUCCGUUGUAGCGUGUGAAAACAUUUAUAGGAGUUGCCUAAGCUCAAUUUAAAUAUUAGAUAUAUAGAAUUUUUUAGUUUAUACUGUUUAUGAAUGGAAGGGAAUGAGAGAUGGUCUAGUUGUUGUAGGAGAAAGUGGAAAAGUUGUAUAUUUGAUAAUAAAUUAACAAGGAAAAACAUAGUUUGAGAGAAGUCCUAUAGAUAUAUAAAAACAUGAACCUUUGAGAUGGGGUCCAAAGAAAUGUAAAAUAAAAGAUGGGUUGUUUUGAGAAAAUGGGUAAAAACCAAAAAAGACAUCGUCUUUGUGUUUGUGUGUGUGUGUGUGUUUUGUGGUAGUGGGUGGUGUAAAUGAGAGGGGGAGAGAGAGAGAGGAUGGUGGUCCACGCGUGCGAAGGUGUGAAGGUGGGCGUACGAGCGUGGUAAGGUACUAGCAGUCACGUGCGAGGAAGUUUAUAUAUACCAAUACCCACUGAGAAAGGAGAAAGGAAAGAGAAAGAAAGAAAAAAGAGAGGGAAGAGAGUGGUGGCGUAGAAGCAGAAAAGGGUGUGGCCUUUGCCUUUCAUAUUUUUUUUUGUAUUCUUCUGUGCACACACUCUUUGUAUCCAGUUGUUGGGGAAACAUAUACACACAGAACAAACAACAAUUUCAUUCCUUUUUUUUUUUUUUCUUUUCUGAAAAAGCAAAACCCCAUUUUCAUUUGUUUUUGUCACUCAACAAAACCAACCAAAUAAGGGGGAUUUGUAGAGGAUUCAUGGAGGUUGAGAAUGAAAUGAGGCAAUCCAAGUUCAGAAGAAUUUGUGUGUUUUGUGGUAGUAGUCAAGGCAGGAAAAGUAGCUACCAAGAUGCUGCCAUUGACCUUGGCAAUGAAUUGGUAUUCUUCUUCUUCUUCUUCUUCUUCUUCUUCUUCUUUUCUACUUCAACAAAUCUCAAUCAAUCCUUGUUUUUCAUCACUUUUCUCAACUGGGUUUUUCUUUAAAGUUAGUGUUGUUUAGUCUUUUCUGUGUGUUCUCUUUCUCUGCCUCUCAAUGUGACUCCUCUGUUUUGCUUUUAUUUCUUGUUUUUCUUCUUUGUCAGGAAUCAUUUUACUUUCAUUUUUCGUUUAUUUUAUUUAACUCAUUGUCCUAAAAUGGUUGUUUUUAUUUUUACCAUAUUCGUCUCCUUCUCCUACUUCUUUUCUUGUCUAUUCUGAUUCCUCUGUUUUCUGUCAUAACCUGUCAAUCAAAACCCUCCUUUAGUUUUCUUUCCUUUUGUUUUUUCUGUCAUUUAAAUGACUUCAACUUAAACAUUUCUUUUUCUUUUUUCUCGGUGGGGAGCUACAAACUAUUUACUAACUAACCCUCUGUUCAUCCUUCGCUUUUUGGAACUUUCCUAUCCUUUUGUAUAUUUAUCUUUAAUUUUUUCUGAAGGUUUCGAGGAACAUAAAUCUGGUGUAUGGAGGAGGAAGCAUAGGGCUAAUGGGUUUGGUUUCACAAGCUGUUCAUGGAGGUGGAGGACAUGUUAUAGGGUAAGUCUAAGACUAGUUUUUUUCUUUUUGAAAAUUUUGAUAAUACCCAGUGAAGAAAAGAAGAGUGAAAAGACAAGAAUGAUGAGUGAUCAAGGAAGGAGGGGAAAUUAUUAUUGAGGUUGUUCUGUUUUUAGGCCUUUGAUUUUUUUUUUUUCUUAUAAAUAAAUAACUAAUUUUUGUCUUCUUGUUGUUUUUUUCCCUUCUCAGAGUCAUUCCCAAGACACUCAUGCCUCGAGAGGUAUGUCUGCUACUGCUAAAAAACACAAUUAACCUUUUCAAAUUAUACCAAAUAUAUAGAUUCAAUAUAGCCUUUAUUACCUCACUUUUUCUCUGAGCUGAUGUUUUAAGACUUUCACUAAUUUUAUUUUUCACACUUUUUUUGUUUGUUUUCAAUUUUCAUAGCCACUUUCUUCUUCCCCUUCUCGCUGAUUGAAACCCUCCAUUCAUCUGUGUUUUACUCUUUGUUAUAUUUCCAAGUGGUUUUCAAUCUCAAGAAUGGUUGUCUCUUUUGUGGGCACUUGUGGCCUUAUCUACGUACCAAUUCACUUGAGUAUUUAGCACCAAUAAAAAAUGGUUGGCUACAGUUGGAGACAUAAAUAUUUGGGAUCUUCUGUUUGCUAUUUUGAAUGAUUCUAUGUCAACUCCCUUCGAUCAGUUGCGCUAAUAUGAGUAUUUGUUCCAUUGUUUUUUAUUCCUUGGCAUUUUCCUACUUGUGAACAUUUUCUUUUGUUUUAUCUUCUUGUGAGCUUGAAAAUUGUGGCUAGGGAAUAUCUGACCAAGAAAUUAUUCCUGCAACACACAUCAUUACUUUACUGCAAAACUCUCUCUCUCCAUUAAAAAAUUUUCAAUUUCUUUUUUUCUUGGCUAUGUUUGUUUCCUUUUGCAGCUAACUGGUGAAACAGUAGGGGAAGUGAAGGCAGUUGCAGAUAUGCAUCAAAGGAAGGCUGAAAUGGCUAAGCAUUCUGAUGCUUUUAUUGCCUUACCUGGUGAGUACAAUAUAAUCCUCUCACCAUUUCCUUUUGCACUGCAAUAUUGAUGGAUAUUUGGUAAACAUAACGCUCCUCUGGUGUUUCUUUUUUCCUGCUUAUCAGAGCAUUUAUAAGACUUUACUUUCCAAUGACAGCCAAAACCAAAACCCUUCUCUAAUUUGAACUCUCUCUGUGUUAAUUUAUGUAAAAGUGGAUAGAACCAUUAACUGCAAAGUGAAUAGUACUCUUCGUUCUUUGAUUUUGGAUUUAGCCUGUCUUGAAAAGUUCCAGGUGUCUUUAGCUGAAUAUCUUUGUUCAAAGAGGGUAAGGAAAUGGAAAGGGAGAACAACCAAAAAAAGGAGGGGAAAAAAAGGAAAAAAGAGGAUUUAUUUUGCUUUCGGUGCUAGCACUUUUUAUGGUUAAGUCCAUUGAAAGCUCUAGUUCAGUCCCUUUCUAGUAUUGAAGCAAAGAAUCUGUUUCUUUUUCUUUUGUUUUGUUUUGUUUUUUUUUUUCCUUUUUUCCUUUCGUUCUAUUUUUCUUUUCAAGUCAAACUGAGCGUUAUCUUUUACUUCAAUGGCUUCUGUUUGGCUCUAAGCUCUUUAGCUUGCUAGUCAUAAUUACUCAUCAACAACCUCUCACGAACCCCAAGACACAAUGAUUAUUGUCUAGCCUUUCAAACCCUAAACUCUUGACUACUAAUGACCCAUCAACAUCUUACACUGAAAAAUAGAGUUACUGAAAUCCUCCAAUCUCUGUGAUAGAAUUACUCACCCUUUCCCACAUUGUUGUCUCAUAACCUUGAUCUUACAGUUCAAAAUUGUACUCUAAUGGCAUUUAACCAACAAAAGGCACCUCAUCUUACAGUUUAAAGAUGUGGAUUUUACUUUCAGUCGGUAAGGCCCAGUAAAAAUUGGCAUUGAAUUGAUAAAUAAAUUAAAAAUGUUUGAUAUCUUUUUCUUUUGUUUUUUUGUUUUUGUUUUUGUUGGGGGGAGGGUGGUUUUCCCAUAAAUGGAAAACUAAAAAGGUGACCAACUGGAAGGUUUGGACCCAUCAGAUUGUCAAACUGAAAGCUAACUGAUACCAAAUAUAUACUAAAAAUUAUUACCCAAGGAUAGGAUUCUCCUGCGCUCUAUAUAUCUAUAUUCCUGUACUGAAAUUACUUACCAAUUAAUGCUGAAGAAAAUAAUUGAAUUUUCAAUAUGUAGAACUCGCAAGUUGGUAAAUAAUCCAGCUGUCUUUUUAUUGUAAAGUAUAUUUAAUUGAUUUGAUAAUGAAGGAUUCAAAUGUUUCUUACAGGUGGUUAUGGAACUUUAGAGGAGUUGCUUGAAGUAAUUACUUGGGCUCAGCUUGGAAUUCAUGAUAAACCUGUAAACUGCACCCUUUGCAAAUUUUUUUUUUCUUUUUUUUUAAUUAAUCCAAAUCAUAUAUAUCCUUUUUGUUCAUAUUUUGAUGGUUUGGUAACUUCUUCAGUUGGGUGGGGAAUUGACAAGGUGCAAAUUAUUUCAAAUUUUGCAGGUGGGUUUGCUGAAUGUCGAUGGAUACUAUAAUUCCUUGCUGUCAUUUAUUGACAAAGCUGUGGAGGAAGGAUUCAUCAGUCCAAGUGCACGUGAAAUCAUCCUAUCCGCUCCCACGGCAAAGGAGUUGAUGAUGAAAUUGGAGGUAUUUUCUUUACCUUAACAACUUUCUUUCCAAAUCAUUUACAUUGCUUUAAUGCCUGGAAGGGAGUGGUAUUCUGCAGUCUUCUUCAUUUCUUGGAUUAAAUGAAUAUCUCAAGAAAAACAUGUUUGUUUCCUAAGAAAAGAAAGAGACAAGGCAUUUAUACUGUUGUGUGAAAAAUGGAGGCUCUCUCUCUCUCUCUCUGUAUCUGUCAUGUUCUAAUAGUAACUGUUGAUUGGUUUGCUUGUAGGAGUAUGCACCUUGUCAUGAAAGAGCUGCUUUAAAGUUGAACUGGGAAAUAGAGCAGCUUGGCUAUCUCUAGGAAGGAUAUAGAAUGGCAGAAGGAGGAAAAGAUGGAAUCUGAAUUUUGAAGCUCUAAAUUUCUAUUUUGGGGGAUUCUUUUUUUUGUAAAUUACUGCAAAUUGACCUCAGUAAAUGAAGUUUGCUAUAUUUCCUUCAUUAUGAAACACUAAUUUCCUUUUGAAAUUGUAAGUAAACGAGGUUGAUGAAGGUUUCCCCUCUGAGAAUGGGCUAUCUACUAACUUGAGAGAAAAAAAAAAGGAGAAAAGAAGAAAAAGAAAGAAAUGUUUUGCAAGUGUUUCAUCAAUUAUUGUUCUCUCCAUGUCUCUGUCUCUGUAAGCUAACAGGAAACCUCCAUUAUCAUUUCAUUAUCCAUCUGGGUAUUGGUAAGAAAUGUUAUUGAUUUCAGAUAUUUUGUUAUUUCAAGAUUGGAACAUGAAACAUGUCAGUUCUAACUUCCAACUUGUCUUGUCAACUGAAAUUAUGACAUCAACACAUCUCUCUUUUAAAAUGGCCAUAGAAACAGAUCAAACUCACAUCAAAUGACUCUCUAAUCUCUUUCUCAUAUAAGAAAUGUCCAAGAAAUAAACAUUGAAAAUAAGAAUAGUAAAACUAACCUUAGCAUAUUAUAGGUUAAAGCUAGUUAAGAUAGACAUAUUCUACCUCUUGAAUCCAAAAAAGGAAUAUAAGAAUUGUAAAACCAACAUAAGCAUAUCUCAACUAAUUAAGAUAUACAUCAUCAACCAAAAAGUUUAAAUCUCUCAUCUUAAACAAAUAAUUCCACUAAGUGAGAGUUAAAUGGUAGUUAGUUAACAUAGAAAUGGAUAAGGGGCCAGUAAGGCUAACAAAUGCAUCACCUGUUUACAUGUACCUGUUUUGAGAGAGUUCCUUAGAUGUAGACAACAGAGUUUAGAAGGGCUAUAGUGUUGGGUGGGAGAGGCAAUUGGUGGGGGUGGGGGGGCAUACUCAUUGUACCCUCAGACUAACAAGUGGUAGGAUUCAGCUCUUUCAAACAAAUAAGGUUGUGACAUCUGUGAUGGUGGGACAUGUCAGCAAGUUUUUUUGAGGUAGACAUAGGGAAGUGGGUUGGAGCCAAUAACACGGCAACAACUGUCAGUGGUGUAGCUCAUAUCAGCACAUCAAACAAAAGAGGGAUGAUUAGGGAAUUAGAUGUGUGGAAUAUUAGAUGUGUGUCCCAGUUUCUUUUUUAACACUUCUAUCCACAAAUUAAUUAUGCAAACUAAAGGGUUUUGGGUCAGCAUAAGGUUUGUUGAUAAGUCAUUUCCAUUAGGACUUUAAAUUUUUUAUUGAUUCCCAAAUUCCCCGAGGUGUAAAAGCUGAUGAUAAUGUAAGACCCAAAGACAAGGGAUAUGCCAUAAUAUUUAUGGACUGUCAUUUAUUUUUCUUCAUUUAGAAUUCCUUCUUUUCAUCCAUAAUAUACGUGAAUUUUGUUUUCAGUUCCUGCUUUUACUGUAAUUGAUUGUAAUUUAUAUGCCAAUCCUGUCGAUUGAAGUUUUCACCUACAAGAAUUGAUGGAGCCAUAUUCCUCAAUAUUUCAUAUUAACGUGAUCAACUACAUUAUCAUUUAUUGUGUUCAGAAGGCACUGUUAUUCACAAACCUAUUCUAUAGUUAACUAAUUGCAUACAUAUGAAAUCGAUCAAUUACUAUCAUAAUCACCAAAAUUUAGCUCCCCAAAAAGGGAAGAGGAACCAAAGGAAGAACGAAAAAGAACACCAUUUUUUUUUUAAUUUGUUCUGCUCAAAUUUAAUCUACACGCCAAUCAACAAUCAGACAUCUAACUGAUGCUAACUUAUAAGUCUUAUCUCAACCUAUGGCAAUGGCAUAUUAAGAAAAUAAUAAUAAUAAAAAAAAGUAAACUAAAUAUUAAAUAUAAAUUUAAUUUUUUGUUCAUUAGAACUGGACUCUCAAUUUAGUGUCUAGAAAUUCGAGAAUUCUAAACAAAAAUGUUAAACAUUUUGAAUAUUCAAUUGAAAAUUUUAAAGAUCUAUUAGACACCUUCAAAAUUUAGAAACCAAAUAAACGAAAACGAGACCAAUUUAGAAGUUGAAACACGGAAUUGUAACUUGUAACUUUUAAAGAUAAAAGUAUAUGAUAGAAAAUGAACAUAUCUAAAUGAAAAGCCACUAGUUUGGUGUGGGAUGUGGAUCAUCAAAAAGUUCUCAAGGGAAAAGCUUUAUUUAUUUAUUUAAAAGAAGUACGGAAAUGUCAUAAUACUAUAAUACUAUAUUGCUGAUUACAGCACAAAACCAAGGAUUUGAUUUGACAAAAAAAUUAGUAAAUAUGUCAACAAAGUGAUGAUGAUAAUAAGAAGAGACCCACUAAACUCAAUCACAUUCAUAGCCUUUCACUUUGCACUCUUACUAAGGCUUGACCAAGGCCCAAGGCAUAAAAUUCAAAACCCAAGCCCAUUAUAUUGAGUUUAGGCCCAAAUAUUUGGUAGUUGAAGAAGGCUGAUGAAAUUAAGUAAGGUAGCUGUUGUAUGUUCCCUAUCACUCUUGUCUCUUUCCGUCACCCAACCCAUUAAGAAGAGGAGGAAGAAGAAGAAGAAGAACAAACAUCAAAUCCAGCUCCACAAAUCCAACAUCUUACUCCAAAGCAAUUUGCAUAUAGUCACAAAUUACAGGAAGGAAGAUGUUUUAUAUGAAUACUAUACAGCAAUGAAGUCAAUUCAACAUUAACUUAAACACUACUCCAGAGAAGAAAAAAAGUUUUAAAACAUGGGGUAGUAUUUCACAAUGGUUUUCAUAUUGUUCAGAAAAUAAAACUAUAAUGUUCUAAAUCAAAAUUAAUAUAUAACAAAUGUAAUAGUGAUGUUUCAACUUCUUACUACAGUGUUGCUUUGAAGCCUUGUUCAAAUCCCCCAGUUGUUUUGCUUUCACCCAUCGCUAAGUGAAAGCUUCAUUUCAUAGCCAGCUUUGGCUCUUAACAACUUCCGAAGACCUAACAUUUCUUUUCUUUUCUUUUUCUUUUUUUUCUUCCUGUUUUUGCUAUUAUAAGUAGCAACCAUUUUUAAACAGAAUAUCUGAAGUUGAAGACAAAUAGGAAAAAGAAAUGGCAAUUCUACUACAUGGUUCUCACCUGGGAUUGCUGUUUCUCCUCACAUUCUUUGUUGGACCUCUCCCUUUUCUGGUUGAAUCAGCAGUUAAGGAAUACCAAUUUGAUGUAGGGAUUCUUCUCUCUUUCAUUAUGAAUAUGAGAUAGGCAGAUUUCACAUCUGCAUUAUUAUAAGUUUAUAACUGACAUUAAUAUAAAUGUAAUGAACUUCUAUUUUCCUAUGUUUCUUGGGAUGAUAUAGAUUCAAGUGAAGAAUGUGAGCAGGCUAUGCAACGCCAAACCAAUUGUCACGGUAAACGGAAUGUUCCCUGGGCCGACGAUAUAUGUUCGAGAAGGUGACCGAGUUCUCAUAAAUGUCACAAACCAUGCACAAUAUAACAUGUCUAUUCACUGGUGAGAACAUAUAUAGACAUUACUAGUGAUUUUAAUUCGUCUUAGAAAUGAGAGUGAUGUAUUUUUUUUGUGAGAAUGCAGGCAUGGGUUGAAACAACAAAGAAACGGUUGGGCAGAUGGACCAGCUUAUAUUACACAGUGUCCGAUUAAGACAGGCAAUAGCUACACUUAUGACAUUACUGUCACAGGACAACGAGGGACCUUGUGGUGGCAUGCCCACAUUUUGUGGCUAAGAGCCACAGUUUAUGGGGCUUUUGUUAUCAUGCCUAAACUAGGAACUCCAUUCCCAUUUCCUCAACCAUAUUUGGAGGCUAAUAUCGUCUUAGGUUCUUCCUUUCCCUCCCUCUUUCUCUUCUUUUUCUUUUUCGAAAAGGUAGAAGAAAACAAAUUAAAAUCAGACGUAAAGGGCCUAUUUGGUGGCUACUGGCCUUUUGAUUCUCUUUUGGAAAAUGAUGUUUACUUUUUGAAAUCAUUUCCCUUUUCUGUAGUAUACUAUUCAAACCUUUCUUCCCCCAUUUUAAAAGUUAAAUUUAAACCAAACUUGAAAAGAACAAAAACAUACUAUUGAAAACUAACUUGUUUCUGGUUUUCCAAAUUUUGUUUGGACAAUAAUAAUAAUGUUCAGAAACCAAGUUACAAAUAAAGAACGUAACACACAUGCCUUUAAUUUUCAAUACUCUACUUCUCAGUUCUUGAAGUUGACCCAAAAAGACAUAUACAUUCCUCCCCCCACAAGAAAAGAGAAAAGUUAAUAAAUACCUUUAACUUUAUAAAGAAAAAAAAGUUCUAAUAAAUUAAAUCAAAGAUUUUUGUGACAGUUGCUUUUAUUUUACUCCUGAUAUUUGGCAUACACAAUUGAUGUAACCAGCAAAUCUGUAAAUUCAGGGGAAUGGUGGAACUCAGAUGUUGAAACUAUUGUUAAUCAAGCCAACAAAUUGGGACUUCCACCCCAAGCCUCCGACGCUCACACCAUCAACGGCAAACCAGGCCCUCUCUUCCCCUGCUCAGACAAACGUAUUUCCAUUUUCCCUCUUUACAAGUUCUACUAAUACAUACAAUCUUUAAACUCACAUUACUAGUUCUUGUACAUCAAUUACCGUUUAAUGUUUAGAUACAUACGCAUUGGAAGUAGAGUCCGGAAAAACAUACCUGUUAAGGAUCAUCAAUGCUGCGCUCAAUGACGAGCUCUUCUUCGCCAUCGCCGGCCACUCCCUGACCGUCGUGGAGAUCGACGCCGUCUACACAAAACCUUUCACAACCACCGCCAUUCUCAUAGCCCCAGGCCAAACCACCAAUGUUCUGGUUAAGGCUGAUCAAGCCCCUGGCAGGUACUUCAUGGCAGCUCGACCCUUCAUGGACGCACCAAUUCCUGUCGACAACAAGACUGUUACUGCCAUUCUGCAGUACAAAGGAAUUCCUACCACAAUCCUUCCUUCUCUGCCAACUCUGCCUCUUCCCAACGACACCAAUUUCGCUCUGUCCUACAACAACAAGCUCAGAAGCUUGAACACUCCUCUGUUCCCAACCAAUGUCCCAAUUAAAAUCGACAGGCAUCUGUUCUACACCAUCGGUUUAGGAGCAAACCCAUGUGCCAGUUGCUUGAAUGGAACGCAACUGACGGCUUCACUAAACAACAUUACUUUUGUGAUGCCUAAGACAGGGCUUUUGCAGGCUCAUUACUUCAAAAUCCCUGGUGUCUUCACUGCUGACUUUCCUGACCGACCAGCCGUGCCGUUUAACUACACGGGUGUGCCGUUGACGGCGAAUUUGGCGACGACUUUAGGGACGAGGCUGAGUAAGCUGGCGUUUAAUUCUACGGUUGAGUUAGUGUUGCAAGACACCAAUAUGCUGACUGUUGAAUCGCAUCCGUUUCAUCUCCAUGGCUACAAUUUCUUCGUGGUCGGUACUGGAAUUGGUAACUUCGAUCCCAAGAAUGAUCCUUUGAAGUAUAACCUGAUCGAUCCUCCUGAAAGGAAUACGGUCGGUGUCCCUACCGGCGGUUGGGCUGCUAUCAGAUUCAGAGCAGAUAAUCCAGGUACGACCAAUCAACCUUUCUUUUAUUUGACUUUCCAUUGUCAAAAACUUUAAUUUGCUCAUAAAGAAUAUUGAUAACAAUAUAUUAAUGAUGGGUUUAGGGGUUUGGUUCAUGCAUUGUCACCUGGAGUUACACACAAUGUGGGGUUUGAAAAUGGCGUUUGUGGUUGAGAAUGGAAAAUCAGCUGAAGAAUCAAUUCUGCCGCCGCCGGCGGACCUUCCACCAUGCUAAUGCUUUAGAUAAAUACAACCAGCAACUCCUUCCUUGACGGCUUUAUAUACUCAUUUUUCAAUUUCCACUUCAUAACAACAAAAAACUGUAUCUGCAGAAACAAUUGAUGAUUGUGUGAGCAAGAUGUAUACCAAACUUAACUUCCUUCAUUCUUUUCCAUUGUGCUUCAUCCCUAUACAUAGAGGGAACCGAACUUUGAAAUUCCACAUACAUUUUCAAGUAAAAUGUUGUUCUUUUUCUGUUUAACUGAAAAUGUAGUUUGAGUUCUAAACUUUGAAAGGGAGAAACAAAUCGAGACUUAUUAUAUACCAUAAUCUCAAUCUAACCAACUAAAUAGUAAAUACUGCAAAUCACUGAUGUUCAGUUAAAAUAUGCAUGACCAUAGUUCAAAAUUGGCAUAGGCAUGAACCUUCGUCGUUCGACCAAAUAAACUUAAAAUCAGUUUGAGAUAAAUUCUUUAGUUGUCUGCACUAAAUUAAGUAACAUUUGUUGAAAUUAAAAACCCUUUAUUUGAGAUUUAGAGAUGAUAGGCUUUCUUAAUAGAUGUCAAGAGAAAAAAGGUUAAAACUUAUUAAUAAAUAUGCAAACUUUGGGUCAUUUGGUAAGGUUUUCGUUUGUGAUUCUUGAUUCUUGUUUCAUGUUCCGUCUAUUUUUAGAACAAGAAACGUGAAUGUGUAUAACUAUUUUUAUUUUUGUUUUAUUCAUAUUUAAUUCUAUUAAACAUCAAACAAAAACAUGUGUUUUUUAUUAAACAUAAAUAAAAUAAAAUUAUCAAACUUAGAUAGGAAGAUUUUCAAGUAAUCUUAUGGAGAAUGAGAUGAAGAUUGAGAUCGGAAGAAAAUAGCCAAUGAGAAGAAGAUAAAAACCCACGUCGAAGAGGAAGAUCAAAACCUACGGCAAAGAGGAGACAAAAACUCACGGCUAAAACACAAAUUUGACAAAAACCCACAAAUUCGUUGAAAACCUACGACGAAAAAACAAUUCACUCAAAGAGGAAGAAGAAAACCUAGAUCCAGCGAAGAGGAAUGUGUCAUAUAGAGGAAGACGAUGAGAGGCGAAGAGGAAGACAACGAAGAUGAUGAGAGAAAGAAGAAGAGGAUGAUUAUUUGGGAAACACGGUGGAGAUAAGAGGAAGAAAAAAGAAACCACGUGGACACUGUUUAUUUGGGGAAGAAAAAGGAAAUCACAAUAGGAAAAUGAAAUAGAAAAGAAAACGAAUUGAAAAGAAGAAAAAUGAAACCAAAAAAAAGAAUGGAGAAAAAAGAAAAGAAUAUCAACAAAAAAGAAUUGAAAAAAAAAGAAAAGGAUACAACAAAAAAAAAUCUAGAAAAAUGAAACCAAUAGAAACCAUUGGAAAAAAAAAAGAAACCAAUUGAAACAGUUGAAAAAAGAAAAAGAAAACAAUUGAAACAAUUGGAAAAAAAAAAGAAACCAAUAGAAACAAUUGCAAAAAGGAAAAAGGAAACCAAUAGAAAUAAUUGGAAAACCGGAGAAACUACUUUUUUUUGUCCAAUAAUUUCUUAUAAAAUGAAAAACAUUUCUACUUUUUUUAGAAUGAGAAACAAGGUACGUUACCAAACAUUCCGUUUCUUUAAAAAUGAAAACAAAAACAGAAAACAAGAAACGAAAACGUUACCAAAUAGUCAUUUAAUACCGAACAUUUAUUCUAAGUCAUUUAAAAGAAAGGAGUUAGAUCCUCCCUUGAAAAGUCAUUUCAAACAAGCUCUUAAUUUAAAGUUUAAACAAUAGCUUAGCUUCCUUAACAUUUGUAUUUACGAGUAACUAUUAAAUUUGUGUUUCAAGUACCUCUACCCAAUUGUUGUAUUAAAAAACAUUAAAAUUAAAUUACAAAACUUAGAUUCUUAAACUUUUCAAUAUUUUAUCUACAUUUGUAUUUACGAGUAACUAUUAAAUUUGUGAUUCAAGUACCUCUACCCCAAUCGUUAUAUUAAGAAAACAUUAAAAUUAAAUUACAAAACUUACCUUCUUAAAUUUUUCAAUUUUUUAUCUACAAGAUUCUGCUUAAUUUAAUUUUUUUUAAAAUAGCAUAUUUAUUAUAUAUAAGUUUAAAUUUGAUUGUUUACUUCCAUUUUUAUAUCUAAUAGACCUUAACUUUAAAACUUAAUAAGAGUUCAAAGACUAACUUUUAACUUGUAUACAAAAUUGAAAAGAUCAAUUAGAACCAAUCUCAAACUCAAUCACUAAUUUUAAACUAUAAGAAAAGGAGAGAAGAAAAAAAAUACUAUUUUUUCCAAAGAGAAAAGAAGAAGAAACUAGUGGUUUAUGUUUGGUCCAAGCCCAUUAAAAGACUUUAAGGCCCUUAGGGUUUGCCGAUUGGAAAGCAUGCCUACAGGAUAGGGUCCUUAAACUUUUUCAGCCUAAACUAUAAGUACCACAUUUUAAGGUUAUUCUCAUUCCUUAUUUUCCAUGAACAUCUCACUCAAAUAAUGUAACUGAGGGCCAUGUUAAACAUAAUUCAGUUUCUAAGACAUUACUAAUCUUGUACAUAUUCAAAUUUUAAGUUGAGUAGAAAUUAGAUGAUAUACAAAGUACCAACUUAUAAGGCAUACGUUCCACUUCCAUGAGAUUACCAAUUCAAAUUAAGUUUCAUCCCCCUAUCUCUUCUGCUUAAAAGAAAAAUGUAAAUACAAAUUACUGCCUUAUAAAGGUACCUAUAAAAUGAAUUAACAUAUUAUUUUACCAUUAAUGAUUAAUUGUUAUAAUGUCAACUCAACUGAAUGGUAAUUGAUGUUCAUUUAUUUUUAACAUUAGAGGUAUGAAUCUUUAUUCUACCAUUGUUGUACUGCAAAAAAAUGAUAGGGUAGUGACAAUAAUUCCUACAAAAUUUAUGACCCAUCUGACAAAAAAAUUGAAAAAGCAGUCUCAAGCGCUCAUUUUCAAUCACUUGAAAACUUGACUAUCCAUUGGAUACAAUUUGGACCUUAGUUUGGUUUUUUUUAAUUAAAUUUGUUGGUAUUUCAAAUUCAUUACAAGUGGGCACAUCAAAGCAAAGCAAGUCCUCUGGCAUAAAACUUCCAACUACUAACAAACAAAAUGGGGAAAGUUGUGUGUGUUUUGUGUUCUUUUUUCUUUUUUCUUUUUUCCUUUCCUUCCGCAUUAAACAAAAGUCAGACAUGAAAAAGAUGGGAGUGGGAGCAACAGGGAAAGGGUUAAAAAGACAUUAAAAACCUUUGGGAGAUUUGUCAUCAAAGUUAAUGAUGUCAAUCUAGACUUUACAAUGGACAAAAUUAUAGCGUGGCAAUAGGUUGUCAAAGUUGACAACCAAGUUUUAAAGUAAGUUGAGUCAUUUACAACCUUUUAGUUUAUCAAACCAUUUCUAAAUUCUAACUAAACAAGCACAAUUUAAGGUAUUGCUUUAUGUGGACUUAACAACUUCAAGGACCCAGAAAAACAUUUUUUUUCUACACACUAUAGACCAACUUUUACUAUUUUAGUAGAGAAGUACCUCGAAUUAUUAGAUGACAUAGUUUCCUUCGUUAAGUAGUCCAUCUACGUGUUUGUGCAAUAUGAACCUAUUAAAUAAUCAAUCCCUAUUUAACAUUUCAACGUGUCUAUUUUGGACUGAGUCUUUGUAAUUUCACAAGUUAUAUACAUACUCAAACCUGUAGAUCCCAAUACUCAUCUCACAAUCUAUAAAUUAACUAAGACCAAAUCAAACAUCUCCACUUUAACAAGAUUAAUUAAGACUAACUCCUAGUGAUACCGGACAGCCAAUGACCAAGAGUAAACCAAAUAAUUCCAAAGAAGUUAUAAGGUCAACAGCUUCAAGAACUCCAAAAGAGGCCCUGCCGUUUUCUUACACGUUGGCUCGAAUAAAACAUGGAGGACGUGUGUUCAAUCAAACCCAACCUCUACAACUUUUUGAGUAUCACCCCAUUUGAUAGAAAAAUAUUCAAGCUAAAAUUUCAAACAAUCUGACUAAUGGACUGUUAUCAACAACCAAACGGCCCAAAAGAAAAACCAAUGUCAUCAUUCAGACAUUUUAUCAAACACCUUUGGGGUAUUAAAAAAAAAAGGAGUAAACAGAACAAACCAUGGUUAAAUGAAAAGGUUGGUCUCGAUAUCAACUGUUGACUGGUUGAAAUCGUGAAUAACGAUGAAAAAUGAAAUUUAAAAGAAAAAGAAAAGAAAAAUGGGGUUGGGUAGGGAGACCGAAAUACCUCGAAAGGAGAAAAUAGAAGUUUCUGUGCGAGGGCAUUGUCGGGUGCCCCCAGCAUCCAUUGAUGGGUAAUUAGUAAAGUAAAAGACAUUGAUAAUCGCAGCAAAGGGAAACCCCACUUGUAGUUGGUGGGUUUAAUUAAUUAAAGAAUUGAAAAGAAGGGUAGGGUUUAGUAGCGAUUGCGAGCGUGGGCGUGUCUGUGUUAAGAAACUAAUCAAAUGCCUGCGCCGGCACCGCCUACGCUGCUGCUGCUGCAUACCUUUUUAAACUCUGUUCCUUCCCAUGUGCUUAACUAUAGUAUAUUAAUCUAAUUAACUAAUUAAUUAAUGACUUCUUAAUGUUACAAAAUUUAAUUAUUAAUUUAAGUAGAGAUGAUAGGCUACAGAUAUCUUAAUAGGUCAUGAUUAUGUUGGCUAAUGUAAACAAAUAUAUAUAUUGUACUAUUUAAUAGUUGGAAACAUAAAUAAUAAUUUUUAAUUGACUGAUAGUUGGAUUGUAAUUUAUGCUAUAUUUAUAAUUAUUUUAGUUUUUAGUUUUUAGAAUUUAAGUUUAUUUAACACUCUUAAAAUCUAAUUUCUUGAUUUAUUAGUUAGAUUUUAUUGAUGUUUUUUAAAAUUGAAUUAAGUUUUGAAAAUUUAAAAACGUAUUGUUUUAUUUAAAAGAAUGUAUAAUAUUUUUAAAAAUUUAGAGAAAAUAAACUUAAUUAAAAGAAGCUUAGAAUAAGAUGAUUAUUAUCAAAUUUUUAUUUAAAUUUUGAUAAUAUUGAUUUAAAUUUUGAUUCUAAAUGGAUUCUAUUUAAAAGUUAGCUCAAAUAACAUAAAUAAUAUUAUGAAAAUUGUAAAAAGGAAUAGUAAAUUUGAUAAAAGUAUUUAAAAUAUAAUUACAUUUUUAAAUUAUAUCUAUAAUAGACAUUAAUAUAUAUACAACUUUUAAUUUAUUUUACUAUUAAAAGAAAAUGUUCCAUAAAAGUUCCAUUCAUUUUUUUUAAAAAAAAAUGAGAACAUCAUAAAUCAAAUUGAAUGAAAAUUUGAUAGUUUGUGUUGUAUCAUCCAUUUGUGAAAUUUUCUUUAAUCCUUUCAUGUAAAAAUAAAAUUGUAAUAGAUAAGAUAAGAUUAAUUAGAUUAAGUUAAUUUACUUGUAAAUUGAUUGAAUGUAUUUGGGGGAAUGACGAUGGGUGAGAAAGUGGAAGAAGGAGAGAAGAGUAAAAGGGGGGGAGGGAGAAAAACGACAAGUCGGCAAUGAUCGAUAAAAAACGGGAACGCAGCAUCGACGUAACAAGCCAACAGAUUAGGGGAAGAAACAAAUGGAAAAGGAAAGCUGAGGUGGGACCUUCCUACACGUGGCCACUGAAUGCCAAAGUGGUGAGGUCAAGUGGGACCACCCAAAGACAAGUAAAUGAAGAACCGUUGAUUUGGCUGACGGUGAGAUGAGAUGGCAUUUUUCUUAUUUUUAUUCUUUUAUCUUUAAUAUUUGACGUCAAUGUUUUUGCCUCCAUUAAAUACGUGGAAGAAUCUCCUGUCAGACACAUCACCGUCACUCCAACAGGUGCGGACAAGAGGAUUUCCACUCACACACAACAAAUAUACACUCACCUUCUUACUUUUUCAUUUUUACUACUUUUUAUUUCCACGUAUUAUCUUUCUAUAAAUGUAACGUUUUUUUUUUUCUUUUUUAAUAAAUACCACAUACAUCCUAAAUUUUUUGUUGUAACAAUAUAGUUUUUAAACACUGGUAUUUAAUAAUUUAACCAUUAUAUUUUUAAAUUUAUAAUAAUUUAGUCUCUAACAUUAAAAUCAAAAUCAAAAUUAGAUGGUAAAUUUUAUUAUUUUAUGAGGGAGCAAAGUUAUUGUUUUAUAAAAUUAGUAAAUCUCUCAUUACUAUAUCACUUUUGUGCAAUAAUUUUUUGUUAUACUUGUACUAAUUUUUCGAAUAUCGUUACAAAUUUUAAAGUACAGUGACUAGAUUGCUACAUAGUACAGAUUAAGGACUAAAUUGUUGCAAUAUUUUGAGAUUAAAUCGUUACAAACAAAAGUUUAAAGAUUAAAUUGUCAUUUUUAUCAAAGUGUAGGAAGAAAAAUGUAAAUAAAUAUUUUUAAAAACUACAAAAAUGUAUCAAAAUAAAUCAAAAUAUUUAUAAAUAUAACAAAAGUUGGUUGACUACAUUUUGUAUCACAUAAAAUUAAUCUAAACAAUAGUAUACCAUAUUAUUAUAAAUUUAUAAAUACUACUAGUAGUUUUGCCAUUUAAAAUAGUUUUCCUUAAAACAAUAUAUACUUGUUUUUCUCCCUAACAAUUUAAUAUACUAUAUUUACAAAUGUUUCGAAAUAGUAUGGUUUAUUUUUUAUAUUUCACAUGUUCUUUAUCAAUUUUUUUUACAUACUGUUGUACAAUUUUAAAAGAAAAAUAUCAAUGAAAAUGUUGAUUGAACCUGAAUGAUACACAUAUAGGGUUGUUCUUUCUUUCAAUUAAACAAAUUACUGUUUACACUAUAUAUUAAAAGAGGUGGAAAAUCAUAUAUUUUGUCAAAACUAUACAAUAUAUGUAGUUCAAUUAAUUAAAAUAUAAUUGAAAAGAAUGAUUAGAGGAAUCUCUAAAUCCACAUGUCAAAUUAAAGGAAGCAAUAACUCUAUAGUAUCAAAAUUUUCUUUUCUUUGUUCUUUUUUGUUUUUUUAGUUUCGUACUGACUGUGUCAUUUCCUAAUUUUAUAUUUAUUUAUUAAGAAGAUGAAUGAUGACAAGAUAAUCAGAACUUAAAAAAUGAUUAUACAAAAAUGAAAAGACAGUUUUUGUUUUAUUUAUUGGACUCAUAUUUAAGACACAUCCAUAAACACAGGGUUUAACUAAUUAAACUAUAUAUAUUUAACAAAGUAAAUUGGAUAAUAGUUUUUGUAGUAAUAUAACAAAAUCAUCAAAAGAGAAUGAUGGGAUAGAAGGAAAAAGAAGAAGAAGAAGAAGAAAACAAACAUUUCAAAUUAGAAAUAUUCACAACCACCUUAAAUAUGGAACAAAAUUCUUGGGUUGGCCCUCCACUUCAACACUGUCUCUCCACAUAUAUUUUUUUCUUUUUAAAAAAUAAAUUGUUGUUCAUAACAAAAUUAAGGAAAUAAUAAUUGAAGAAGAGAAUAAGAAAAGAAAAAAACACAUAAUUAAUUGGAACAUUCAUGGCUGGGACCAAAGGUGCUGGUGGGUUAAAGGGCAUAGAGGUUUGAAUUAGCUAAUGUGUUGUCGUUUAAUUCAAGUCAAGAAGGACGACACGUCGACACCCACCCUUUUAUGAAAUAAUGUCCUUUUAUUUCUUUAUUUCUUCCUUUAAAUCUAUAUAUUUAUAUUAAUUUAUCAAACAUUUUUUGUAUGGCUUAUGGUCAAGUUUUGAAAGCGAUAAUUCAAAGUAGGUUGAGUUUAAUUGUUUGUAUUUUAGCUCACAAACAUCCCCUUCUUAUAACCCUUAAUUAAUAAGCACUUUUCCAUUCCAUUCUUUUAUACUGUAAUUAAUAAUGAAAAUGGUCAAAUCUCAAAUUUAUAAGUCCGGUUCAAAAUUAUAUCAUUUCCAAUUUAUACACUGUAUUUAAUUUUUGUGGUAUGUCUUGUUAUAAAUUAGUGCUUGUUAUAGAAAGGUGUCAAUAAUUAAAAUAUCAUUCCAAAUUAGGAAUUGCUUUAGCUCAAUUGGACUUUUGGUCGAAAAAUCUACAUAACCUUGUCUUUAAAAGUUACGGUUUUGGUUUUUGAGUUGGUGUAUAAUUAGAUUAAUUUGCUUGAAGUUGACAUCCACAAUAAAAUUUGUCGUUAGAAUUCGUUACAAAUAUUUAUAUAUAUUCAUAUCAAUCAAUAAUAUAGUUUAACACAUCAUAUUUUAUGCGAACCUAAGCAUUUUAAAAUACGUGUGAAAAGUCUCAACGUAAACCAUAAAAGUUUUAAAGCAAGUUGAAAAUAUAGUAUAGACAUUAUUUUCUUUUAAUAAUUUGAUUUGUAUUUGAGUUUAAAUUUUUUUUGUUUAACAAUAUCAAUGUGAGUUGAAUCUAGUCGAAAAAAUGCGUAAUUAUUAUAUUUUAAUUUUCUUUUAAAGAAAGUCAUACAUACAAGGGGAAAACAUAGAUAGAUUAAUACAAUUAAUUAUUAAUGAUAAGAUGGCGAAGAAGAAAGAGAGAAAAGGAUGAUAGUUUAAGAUUAAAAUUGAGGAUGGGAAAUCAAGUUGGUGAUUAAUAAUGCAUAUGUUAUGUAUAUUCCCUAAGAUACAUAUAGUAGAAAGAUUAAAGGGGAAAAAGAAAAGAGAAAAAAGAAAAGAAAAGAUAGGACAAAAGUGUAUAAAUUAAAUAAAAGGGGGAUGGGGAAGAUGUUUUAUGGUUAGGAGGUCUCAAUCAAAAAGGGGAAGAAUGGUGACAAUAAUAAUGUGGGCUUAGUGUACAACACAAUGACAACCAAAUGGAAAGGAACAUAAAAGGGCCAACUCUUAAAACUAAAAUAAAGAGAGAAACAUUGUAAAGUCAUAUUCAUGUCUACCCCUUCUUACCCUUACAAAUGUGGACUCCCCAUUUCCAUUGUCUUUCCAUCCCCUUUUAACAUUUUUAUUUUAUAUGUAACAAUCUAAGUUUAGACAAACAUAUAUGAAUGAGUCGAUAUUAUAUCUGAACGAGAUAAAUUCCAAUGAUAAAAAAUAUGAUUAAGAAAAAAAUUAAAAUAUAUAUUAAAAAGGUCUACCUUCUUUUCUAGUGAUUCAAUCAUAGAACUCUAAAAGUAAAACGUGCUUAGUUUGGAGCAAUUAUAUAUGCAUGUGAGUGAGAGAACAAAACAUAUUAAAAAAACUCGUGUUGGUUUGUAAUGACAACUUUUACUCUUAGAAGUAUUCAGGGAUGUCGUAGUUGGAACACAAGAAAAUGUCAAGGGCAUCAGGUGUCAAAUUGGAAUUUUGAAUUUUAAGUCUAGGAUAUUAUAGAAAAAAUUAGUUAAUGGUAAUUGGUAUGUAUGUCUUUUUUAUUUUAUAGUAUAUUUAAAUUUGGAUACUCUACGUGUACUAAAAAGAUUAUGUUAUUCUUUGUUUAUGUUUCUUCCUUAACCUCAUGGAAAAGAAUAUGUAAUGUGUUUUGAUCAUUAUUAUCAAACCUAAGUGGAAGAUUGUCAUUUAAUAACUUUUUUAUAUAUUUAAACUUUGGAUUUUUAAAUGGCUCAACUUUCAAUUAUUUAUAUCUCUAACAAGUUUGUACUUUUUUUAAGUAUAUAAUUCAUAUGAAUGUGGAGAUAAUUUGAACAUGUAACCUAUUAUGAUCGUUGAAUUAUGGAAAUUGAUAUGCUAACUAUUUUGAUAUAAAAUGUAUCGGAUAAAAAAGCAAAAGGAAAAGCAUUUAGAAUAAACAUAAAAAUGGAAAAGAAAUAAUAAUUAAGAAGAAAAGUUAGAUAGAUUAGGAAUAAAUUUGUUCGUAAUUUUGAAAAAAAAAAGUAUGUAGAAGAAAACUUGUUACAAAAUAUUAAGAGGAUAAUAAAUGCAAAUAGGUCCCUCAGCUCCACAAAGUCCUUAAACAGUAACGGAGCGUUACAAAAUGUGUGUGAAAUUUUAAUGUUAGACGUGACAUUUUCUUAUUUUUACACUUUCUCAUCAUCACAUGUGUGUUAUAUAUCCAAAUUUUCUAUUAUUGUAUAUAUAUAUAUAUCAAUGAAUAACAUUAAUAUUUUUUUCAAACUAUAAAAAAAUAAUAACCGUCAUCUACUUCACUUCUACCUAUUAUUACGCUACUAUGAACAAAAAGACUUAAGUAUAUGUUAAUUAAUAAAUAACUAGUCGUGUAUAUAAAUAAUCUUCAAAGGACUAACACAAGUUUAGUUCAAUGUGUUAAUUUAUAUGAUAUUUUAUUCUAAAGGUGGGAUACUGUUUGAUCGGUUGUUUUCACAAUUGUUGUAGUUAAAAAUAGUCAUUUACUUACACUUGAAUAUGAGAGUAAAUCAAUUUUGUCCACUAUAACUCAAAAAUCACUUUCACAUUAAAGAUUUUGCUUGUUUACUAUUUUGACUCAUUAGUUAUUGACUGACAUCCUACUUCACCGAGUUUGAAUGGUUUGUUUCCUAAGUUUGAGAUAUUUUUGUGAUUCAUCAAGCUAACUUUUCUUCUUUUCCUUGAUUGAACCCAAUUUUACACCUCACUAUGUCAUAUUUUAUUACUUUUUAGAGUUUAUUUUUUGUAUAGGUUAAACAAAUUUCCAUUUUCUUAGCACUAACCAUUCUCAAAUAUAAAUAUCUUCAUAUUAUGUUAAAAAGUUUAUAAAAACCUAACGCUAAACACCAACAUAAAUAUUGUUUAAAGUUUAGAGAUUAAAUAGGCUUUUCAAAAAUGAAUACCAAAAUAGAAUUUUUUAGGAAGUAAAAAAUAUUAAAAGUUAAAUGAUAGAAAGAAAGGAAGGAUUAACAAGGAGGGUAAAAUAGUAAAAGCAGAGGGAAUAUGUAAAAAUUAACCCUUGAAAGAAAGAAUGUAAAUUUGGUAAGAAGGAGUGGAUGCUUAGGUGUGACCACCACUUUCCUCACGCGCUGAAGUAAGAGCGUCCAUAUCCCUUGACGUUUAUAUAUUUAUAUAUAAAUAAAAAUAAAAGAGUAAAAAACUUUGAAAUGGAAUCUCAAAUUUGAAUUAAAGAAGUAAUAAAAAUAAAUAAAGAAAAAAGAAAGAGAGAGAGAGAGAUUGUUCAGGUUCUAAGGCCAAGCCGACGCGCGUCAACUCAACAAACUUGGGUUUGUUGUACACCCCAACUUAAAUUAAAUACAACACGUAGUUUAUUUCAUUAUUGUUCCUUCCUAUAAAUUUUGGAAAGGAAUCAAAUUCUAAUACUUUUUUCAUAAUCACAAUUCCUUCCUCUUAGGUUUUCCACUAUCAAUGUUCUUAAUUACCCUUUAUAAUUUAAAUUCUUUUAUUUCCAUUCAAUCAUUUCAAAAGCUUAAUUUCGCAUUAAUAAAUACAUGUUGUUUUUUUAGUAUAGUUGGAGUGAAGGAUGAGAUUCAUACUACAUCCAACCGAAAAUAACCUAUAUUUUAUAUAUGUGUUGAAUAUAAUUAAACUUUUUUCUUUGUCGGUAUAUUUUAAUUGUUAUUAUUACGAUUAGGGACUUUCAUACAUUGUAAUGAAAUUGAUGGUUUUUAUUUUAAAUAUGUGUUAGUUAAAUAGGGUUAUAAUUUGUAUGGAUGAAUAAAAAGUAGAAAGAAAGAGCCAUCCUCAAAUCAAGCAGGUUUGUGAUUUGAGUCUAUGAACAGUGGAAAGUGUGGGAGAGAGAAGAUAAAGAAAAUACGUUCUGUAACGUUGUUUUAGUUUUCACUAUUAUUAUAAUUAGUAAUAAAACUAUUUUAAAUAAUGAUAAGUUUUUUUUAAAAUAUUUACAAAUAUAUCAAAAUAUGUAUGUCAUUGUAGACAUAGAUAAAUAAUUUAUAAACAAUUUAGUUCAUUUUUCUAUAUUUGAAAAUAUGUAUAACAAUUAUGCUAAUAUUUUUAUAAAAAUAAUGUUAACGUUGAUGAUCAAUCGAUAUAUAACUUAAUAAAUUCUAUUGACAGAGAGACCCGAAAAUUAUAUUGAUUGAACAUCUUUCCAAUGCUAAAAACUUGAUCGGUCUAAUUUUAAAAUUGUAUGAUCUAGUUGGACACAAAUCUCAAACUUUUAUACACAAGGUUUAAUUUAAGUUUUAUUCUUUUCAUUCUCGAAAUAGAAAUGGUAAAAGUUAAAGUUGACUAAUUGGUAGUAAAAACAAAAACCCUAAAUUUUAUGCAUAGGCUUGGUGACUCAAUCCCAUUAUUAUUGGAUCUUUAUGCUUAUAUUUCACAUAAAAGUAUCAAUCUUUGAUACCCACUUUUACCCACUCUAUGGGUAAAAAAAGCUUUGGUUGUGUAACUUUAUGCAAAACUUGACCACAUAAAAACACCAGCUUAGGUUUUGAAAAGUCACAUAGAGUGUCUAUAUCAAAUAUUUUUUUUUCAAGAAACAACAACUUAGCACAAGAGAUUACAUACAAAACAAAAAGUUAUAACGUAUUAGUUAGCUAGUCAUUUUAUUAUAUUCAAUCAAGUAUGAAAUUUCGUCUUGAAAAUAUUUUAGUACUAAAAUAGUAUGAGUACUAUUCUCAUUAACUGGUUGUAACGUUCUAAUCUUGAAAGAAUGAUGUAGGAGUCCAACAAUAUCAUUUAGAUUAUUCUUGAUGGAACAAAAAGAAAAUCAUAUAAUAUAGACACAGAGCAAGUUAAGGAAUUCAAAUAGGACGUUGUAUUAUUUUUACAAAAAAAAUGUAUUAUAGUAACGAGAGUGUAAAAUUUUGAGACGAAUAGGAAUAGGAAGUGUGUACAUAGACUAGUGAAAAAGUUGUGAAUAUUAUAAGUAAAUCUAGAACUUUGUAUGUAAAAAUUAUUUGUACUUCAAAAGUUAUAAUAUUUCACUCAAUCUUUCUUACGUUUCAGUGUCAUGCAAUUGGAAUAGAAAACUUAGACUGUUAGUAAAAAAGUAGGUCAUUUGAAUACAUUGUAAUUUUCUUUUAAUUUUCUUUCAAACUUUAAUCUAAGGCAAGUGUCCUUGUCACACCCCGUUUUCAUUCAAUAAUUUUAUUCUCGUUUCAAUUUCCUAAAUCCAAAAAGCUCCUAAAUAUUUGAAUUGGCAUAAGUUGGUAGUAUGCACAUAUUCAUGAAUAUCCUAUCGUGAUAUAUAGAAACAUUAUUAUUUUAAAAUUUGUUUGAUUUUGUCAUUUAAAAUUUUCUCCUUUAACUUAAAACUCUUUUCCUUAAGCUCCUCAUGUGAAUGCCCAUUUCAAAAGACCAUUCUCUUUCCUACUUUUGUACUACAUCCUGACCUUACCUAAAAGUUAAAAAGUUAAAACUCACCCAUCUUUCUCAUUCCAACAAACAAAUUUUUUUUUUUUUUUUUGUAAACAUGAAAUAUUUUUUAUUUUUGUAUAGUGAAAAAAUGAAGAACAUUUGAGAUAGAUUCAUGUAAUCAUGGUUCUUUUCGGAUUACUCCUCUCAUCCCUUUGCUCACGUGAUUGCAUUUAGCUACAACUUUAUCUUCAUAUCUCAAUUGAGAAAUUUAAAUAUCAUUAGCUUUUUAGAAAACUUAAAACUUCAUAACUUUUUGAUGCUCUUGUAAAUGAGUUUAUAUAUAUAUAUAUAAAUAAGUAGGUAAUAAGUAGUGAAAAUCAGGAGAAGUAAUUAAUUGGCUUCCAUUUUUUUACCAUAUGGUUUCCCUAAAUGAAGCUCUGAAAAGAGAAAACACACCCAUCUCUCUCCUUCUUCACAUUUUCUUUUAAUCUUUUUUCUUUUAAAACCCUUUUGUUUUCUUUCUUUUGAAACAAAUCAAAAGUUAAACGACAGAAAGAAAAUGUAGAGAGAGAAGAGAGAAUUGUAAAUUAAUAGAAUAAUAAAAAAGGAAAGAGAAAAAGAAAAAGGAUAGGAUGGGUUUUAAAGAUCUUUGUUUUGGUGGCUCUUCAAGAUACACUUCUCUCACUCUCUCUCUCUCUCUUCGGAUCCAAAGAAAAAGGUAAGAAUUCCCUUUUAAUUUUAUCUUCUCCUUCUCCUUUCUGUCUUAACAUCAUCUUAAUCCCUUUUUUCUUUUUUUCUUUUUCUCUUUUUUUUUUUCUUUUUUUUCUCUUUUUUACUUCUGCUCUCUGCUUUUGGACUCUUCCAUGAUUUUGAUGAUCCAAACCAAAAACCUCUCUUCUCUCUCUUCGCUUCUCUUCUGUGAGUGUCCACGCCUCUUUUUAUCUGCUUCUAUGUCGGCCAUCGACUCACUCAUUCAAUCUUUGAACAACAACAACAAACACCAAGAACCAAACUACGAUUACCUUCUCUUUUUCUCUCUGUUUUCCAAUUCUCUCUUCUUCCCUUCUUCUCCUCUCUAGGAUUCUCUUUUCCCUUCCUUCCAUCAAUUCCCACUUGGCUUUCUUCCCUUCUCUUGAUCGACCUCACUCUACCCUCCAUCUCGAUUUUUGUUUCUAACUCUGUUACAGUUGCAACCCCCUUUCUUCUUCCUUUUUAAUCUAUUUUUAUCCAAUUUUUGUUCAUGGGUUUUGCGUCUGGUGGUAUAUGAAGUGGUCAAAGCACGGUGAAGAAGCUCCUAGAGAACCCCUUUGAAUUUGGUGAAUGGUAGGUUUCUGGAGCUGUGGAAUUUUGUUGCCAUUUAUAAGGGGCGAAUUCCCGAGAACGGAAGGGUUGUUGGGAAAUUUUUGAUAUGGGUAUGGAGAUUUUGGAGACGUAUUCGUCUCUUCUACCUUCUGCAAUGUUCUGUUUCUGAGAAUUUUGGAAUUCAAUUUCUGGAUUUUGCUGUUGUUAGAUGGUCGACGGGAAGGAGUUAUUUAUGUUCUACAAGGUAAGAAUCUUUUAGGGUUGGGUUGGGUUGUGAAUACACUUGAUAUUCAGUUUUUUUUUUUUUUUUUUUGAAAUGUUAGUUUUUCGUGGUUGGCAGAGGAAUUAAUUGGCUUUGAUUGAGAUGAUUACGUUUAUGGAUUCGAAAGAGAAACUGAAAGAGGUGGAGAAAUGUUUAGAUCCUCAGUUAUGGCAUGCCUGUGCUGGAGGAAUGGUUCAAAUGCCGCCGGUGAACGCCAGAGUUUUCUAUUUUCCACAAGGUCAUGCUGAGCAUUCUUGUGCGCCAGUUGAUUUCAGGAACUGUCCUAAGGUUCCUUCAUAUACCCUUUGCAGAGUUUCUGCCAUCAAGUUCCUUGCAGAUCCUGACACUGAUGAGGUAUUUGCCAAACUUAGGUUGAUUCCCAUAAAUGGAAGCGAACUAGAUUUUGAAGAUGAUGGAAUUGGAAGGCUUAAUGGGUCCGAACAGGAUAAACCAACCUCAUUUGCAAAGACACUGACUCAGUCUGAUGCUAACAAUGGUGGGGGUUUCUCUGUUCCAAGGUAUUGUGCAGAAACUAUCUUCCCUCGGUUGGAUUAUUCUGCUGAUCCACCCGUUCAAACCAUUCUUGCUAAGGAUGUUCAUGGGGAGACAUGGAAAUUCAGGCACAUUUAUAGAGGGACGCCUCGCCGGCAUCUUUUGACUACUGGCUGGAGUACUUUUGUUAACCAUAAGAAGCUCGUUGCAGGUGAUUCCAUUGUUUUCCUAAGGGCAGAAAACGGAGAUCUCUGCGUUGGGAUUAGACGGGCCAAGAGAGGAAUUGGGGAUGGACCGGAGUCAUCCUGUGGCUGGAAUCCAGCAGGUGGUAACUGUGCUGUUUCGUAUGGGGCAUUCUCUGCGUUUUUGAGGGAAGAUGACAACAGAUUGACGAGGUCUGCUAAUGGCAUGAAUGGAAAUGGAAGUCUUAUGGGAAAGGGGAAAGUGAAGCCUGAAUCAGUUACUGAAGCUGCUAAACUUGCUUCAAAUGGACAACCCUUUGAAAUAAUAUUCUAUCCAAGAGCUAGUACUCCUGAAUUCUGUGUCAAGGCAGCACUGGUGAAAGCAGCAUUACAGAUCCGGUGGUGCUCAGGUAUGAGGUUCAAGAUGGCCUUUGAAACCGAGGACUCUUCACGAAUUAGUUGGUUCAUGGGUACCAUCAAUUCCGUUCAGGUUUCGGACCCACUGCGCUGGCCUGAAUCACCAUGGAGGCUUCUUCAGGUAAUCACUGUUUUUUUCUCCCUGCCUGAAUUCAUUGCCAAUAAUCAAUGUAUUCUGAACAUGGUGAUUCAGGACCGAAUAUAUCACGUCUGCAGAAACAUAGAAGUUUGUAAGUUCAGUGAUUGUCGGGAUGAUUUGUAGUAGUUGACCUUACCACAACAUUUCAUUCAGUUUGUGCACUAUUGAUGGUUCUAUGGAUUCAUGGAAGGUCGUUCGUUGCCUUAUCACUUGCUAAUAACAUAUUUUGUGCAGGUUACUUGGGAUGAACCAGAUUUACUUCAGAAUGUGAAACGCGUUAGCCCAUGGUUGGUUGAAUUGGUAUCAAGCAUGUCUCCAAUUCACCUUGCCCCUUUCUCACCACCAAGGAAAAAGUUCAGAUAUCCACAACACCCUGAUUUCCCCCUUGAUAAUCAACCUCCUGUGCCAUCGUUUUCUAGUUAUCUCCAUGGGACUGGCAGCCCCUUCGGUUGUCCUCCCGACAACAACCCUGCUGGCAUGCAGGGAGCCAGGCAUGCUCAUUUUGGUCUAUCCUUGUCAGAUUUUCAUGUCAGUAAACUGCAGUCAGGUCUGUUUUCGAUUGGUUAUCGAUCACUGGAUCCAGCUGCUGGAUCAACUAGACUUUCUGGUAAUGUAAUGACUGAAAAACCAAGUAUGAGUGAAAACGUAUCUUGCUUGCUAACCAUGGCACAUUCUACUCAAGCUUCAAAGAAAUUUGAUGGCGUGAAGACUCCUCAGCUAAUACUUUUUGGCCGACCCAUACUUACAGAAUUGCAGAUGUCUCAAAGCUUCUCUGGCGAUACCGUUUCUCCAGUAGGUACUGGAAAUAGUUCGUCAGAUGGAAAUGGAGACAAAAUGACAAACCUCUCCGAUGGCUCUGGAUCUGCUUUACAUCAACAAGGUCUACCAGAAGGCUCUGCUGGCGAAAAUUUCCAGUGGUACAAGGACAAUUGCCAAGAAAUCGACCCAAACUUGGAUAUCGGCCACUGUAAAGUCUUUAUGGAAUCAGAAGAUGUAGGACGCACUCUCGAUCUUUCUUCACUUGGGUCUUAUGAAGAAUUGUACAGAAAACUUGGAAAUAUGUUUGGUAUAGAUAAUUCAGAGACAUUGAACCAUGUCUUGUACCGUGAUGUUUCCGGUGCUGUCAAACAUGUCGGUGACGAACAAUUCAGGUAUAUUUCUUCUUCCUUUGGCAACGUUGAGACAUCGUCUUACAUUCUGUCAUUUCCAAUACAUAUCACGUCUGAUUAACGCUCCUCGUUUUCUGUUUCAGUGACUUCAUCAAGACAGCAAGAAGAUUGACAAUUCUAACAGAUUCAGGAAGUAACAAUGUAGGAGCUUAGAAGGAAGAAUAAGAGUUGAUUUCAACUGUACAGCUGGUCAAUAUCAGGUCCUUCAUUUCCUUGCUGACCGUUCUCUGUUUCAAAUCUGGGAGCUGCUGCUAAGAUUCAAGCUUUUUUUAACUAUGAAAAAAGCUGAUAUUUUUCCUUUUCCUUAUAAUUAAUUUUUUUUUUUUCCCAAUCCAACUUCUGGAGGGAAUGUUUGAAUUUUGGAACUUGCUUACAUCCCCAUGUUCUGUGAUGAACUUUGAGGGGGUUUCUUUUUGGGGGUUUUUUUUCUUCUUUCCAUUUUAGGUGGUUAGUUCUUAUUAUAUAAGUGGAAGUGAUUUGAGAGAGUAUUGGGAAUGUGUUUGUAAGAGAAGCAUUGUGAAAUAUAAUGAGUUAAAGUGGAGUUGUUUCUAAAGGUUUGUGGUCAAAGUAAGUCAUAAAAGAAAGGCAUUUUGAAGAAGAAAAGACAAAAAGGGCUUACCUUGAAACUUGAGUUUCAUUUGUAAAAGUUCAAUGUUAAUGAUGUAGUGAGUUGUGAGUUUGUUGAAUUAAUGCCAUUCCCCAAAAGAUGGGGAAUUCAAAAGUUUCAUAAAAAAGAAAGUGGUUUUCAUUCAUUGUAUGACCAAAAUGAAUGAUGUAAAUUUGUUUGGUUGGAAAUCUACUCUACUAUUAGUCUCCCCCUUCUUUUUUCUCUUUAAUUAAUUUAGUCUAACUUGGACUUUUCUUUCUUUUUCUUUUUCUUUUUUUUUUUAGUUGUAUGAGUAUGAUUUUUGAUCGUAAAGAUAAGAGUUUGUCAUAGUUGUUAUAUUAUAAAAAAAGAAAAGUAGAGCACGAGAAUUUUAAUCUUUAGAUUACGAUUCUAUACGAAUUCAUAUAGUCUAUGGGUGUAUUUGGAAUAUAUUUUUAAGUAUUUAAUUUUUUUAAAAAAAUUAUUUUGAAACAAAAUUGAUUCCUUGGCUUAAAAUAGCUUCCAAGGUGUCCUCUACAUCUUUUAUUAAAAAAAAAUUAAGUAAAAAAGAGUUUUCUUAAAAAAAAUAUUUUUGUUUCAAAAUUUAAACAUUGAUUUUUUUAUAAGUGUUUAUAGAUUUUUUAUAAGUGUUUAUGUACUUAAUUUUUGUUUCUUCUCAAAUUUGAUCACUUUAAAAGAUAAUUUUAAAAUUAGUCCUUCUAUUCCAAGGUUUACAAACACCAUGAAGUAAAAUGUUUGAAAAGUUUUGUUUUUCACUCAUUUAAUUUUUAUUUCAUUAUUAGAAAUUAUAUAUAUAUAAAAAGUAUGUGUAGAAGGUUAGUUGAACUAAAAUGAAGCAAUGAUUUAUAUAUAUAAAAAUAUAUAUUGGGGGAGGAAUUAAAAAGGGGAAGAAAAUAGAAAAAGAGAGAGUGUGGUGUGGGGAUUUAAUUAGAAGUAAUAAAUAAAAGGGAAUAAAAUAUAAAAUAAUUUUGUAUAGGGAUUGAGGAUGAAAAACACAAUAUAAUAUUGCUGAGUUGGCAUAGAGUUAGAAGCUAUGGUACACGUGAGAAGGUGGGACCACGUGGAGCUUACGUGGAGAGGUUUCCAUAAAGAUUCACGUGUGGACGACGUCAUCUUUCUUAGUGCAAAAUGGCUCGCUGCUUCAGUCCCGCCGUUUCGUUGAGCGCCCUCUUCGCCUUUGCCUUCGCCUUUGCCUUUCCUUCUACGUUUCCCCCUUUUUUUCUUUUUUCCUUUUAAUUCUUUUAAUAAUUACCAUCUUCAAAUAUUAAUAAAGGAAUUCCAAAAGAGUUAGACAUAUAUUUUGGGCAAAGCACAAAAGGAUUUGUUCCAACAUAUCCCAAUUACAACUGAAGCAAUGGGAUUGGGAGAUAACAAUCAGAUUCUAAACACCACAACCCAAUGUUUAAUUAAAUCAAAUAUUUCAAAUUCAAAUACAUUUAAAACUUUUCCCUUCCCAAAAUACCCUCUUUUUUUUUUCUUUUCUUUUUUUUGUAAAAAAAUGAAAAAAUAUAACUAUUUUUCUUAGUUUUGAGUUUCCAAUUGUUUUAGUUUUUGCCACAAUAUACGGCACCGUUUCUGGAAAUAAGCAUUAAAAGCAAACAAAAAGACCAACAAAAUCAUGUGUGUGUCUUUUUAUUAGGGUUUCCCUUUGCUUUAGGGUUACGUUUCAAGAACUGUCACUUCUCACUUCUUCUUUAAUUUCUCUUUAGGGUUUUUGUUUUGAAAGAUCCCAAGUCCUGAAAACAAGGCAUAUCUCCAUGCAAACAUCAUAUUUUAUUCUUCUUUUUGUUUUCAGUACAAACCCACUCAUAAUCCAAAACAAGAUCAUUACAAUCUGCCAUAACUUAUAAGCUGAUCACUCAAAAUAUAUGAACAUAUCAAAAGCCAAUUAUUUUUAUGGAAACCAACAUAACACUCCAUUCGCAUCAACUUUUACUGUCAACUUCAUUCUAAUAAAAUUAUACUUAUCAAUAUUUUAAUUUUAUAUUGGAGAUAUUUUUUAGUAUAUAUAACCGUGAAAAUUCAAACCACACACUUUUCAUGGCUAACACAUCAUAUAUAUCAAUUAAGUUAUAUUCGUUAUGAAUAACUAAUAUAUAAAAUCACAUUAUAUUUUCAAUAAUUAAUAUUUAGUUAUAUAUGACCAUGUAUUUACAUAUAUGUUAAAUAAAACAAUAACUUAAUAAUACAUAAAUUAUUUUUGUGUCAAUAAAUUUCAAACAUGUUCUACAUGGAAAUUUGUAAUGUAGAAAAAGUAGAUAAUUUUAAUAAAUUAAGGACACAAUAAAAAAAAUUAAGAAUUACAUCAAAGAUUGUAUUAGGGAUAUUUAAAUUUGUAUUAUUUAAUUUAGCAUAAAGAAAAAGUAGAAACCCUAAAUCACAUAUCACAUGUCUUAUUAAAUAAAGCAUAGAUUGGUAAUCACUCCACCUUAUUAUUACACCUUGAAAAUCACAUAUUUAAAUAAAUGCAUGGACUUCGAAAAACAUUUUCUUUUUCAUCUUAAUUGUAUAUAUUUUGUUGCAAAGUUUUGUUCUUCUUUAAGAAAGAAAAAAAAAAUUAUAAUAGUAUAUUCUCUAUAAAUAAUGGAUAGUUGAAUAUAUAUGUCUACUAAACUCAUCCCCGGUACCAAUCUUUAUGUGCGUAUUAAAGUUCACAUGAUUUGUAGCCAUGCACAUGGCUUACAGAUCUCUUCUCUCGAUCUCUUCCUUCCUUGUACUGCUAUAUAUAUAAGUAUUUCAUAAAUACAUGUCUCAAUUCUUUUCUAAAUUUUCGAAACAUAUAAAUAUAUAUAUAUAUAUCUUCUUUUAACCAACUUUCUUAAAUAAUGAUUAUAAACGGCACAAUAUUUUCAAUGAAAGCUUGUUUUCAUGUAAUUUUUUAAAAUUAAAUUUGCUAUUUUUCAACUAUAUAUGAAUCUUUCAAGAACGUUCGGUCUCUAUGAAUAUUUUGUUUUAAUGUUUAUUAUUGUCAAGAGUUGUUAAAGUUAGUUGUAAACUAAAAAAUAUAUUUAAUUAAGUAUGGUUUUCUUUUUUGGAAGGACAUAUAUUUAAAUUAAAUCACUAUGCUGUUUCUAUAAUAUAAAUGGGAAAUUUUUGGAAGAUUGAAUCAGAGAACCGCUAGUUUUUUCAUUUUCGUUAACUUUUUAAAUAAUUAAAUCUUUUUGUUAAUUAUAAGCUUAUAAUAUAAUUUUAUUUUAAUGUAUGAAUAAUACUUGGUAUAUUCUUUUAAGUAAAAUAAUAAUAAUGUCAAAGGGAAAUUGAUACAAUUAUAUAUAUAUAUAUAUAUAUAUAUAUAUAUAUAUUUAAUUUGUCAUUGAUUUUAUAUGUUAAUGUCAAGUACAAGGUUGGGCAUAUCCUAACGCUAGGGCCACCCUAAUGUGACAAAUGCCCUAUCCCAUUUGGGCCCAUCUAAUUUAUUGUUUGUUAGUAUAUAUUGACAGUUUGAUGGCAAAAAUGUCCCUUUCAUUUUCUUAAUUACAAGAUGAUGUUGAAUUCUACAUCACAAUUGUUUUGAUUAAGUGUAGAUAAAAUUUAUCAAUUCAUCUAAUAUUAAUUGCUACCUAGUAAAUGAAUUCCAUAAGCUCUAUUUUUAAUAAGCAGAUUUGUUUUAAAUCAACACACUACUAUAGUACAGUGUAGUGCUGAUGUUAUUUUUAUAAUAACAAGUUCAAUUUCUGCAUGAUACCAUUAUAUGAAUAGUUAUAGUAACAAACGAAUAACAAUAAGAUUGUCUGAACGACUUUGACUAAUAAGUCAAUAUGAAAACUCUAUAAUUUAAUUAGCGGGAUUGAGAAAUUAGACAAUCUAUCUACUCAAAUUCAUAUUUAAAAAUUGAAAACUCUAUCACAUGUUUCAACACAUAUAAUCAUUUCUUAAAUUCAAUAAUUACAAAGUUGAAAAAUCGAAUAAAACCAACUUUUAAAAUGUAAAUUUACUGCACUGUAUGAUUGACCAUCGAGUCUUCAAUUACUUUCCCGUCAUUUUUAGUGUCAGUUCUUAAUUAUCUUUUUAAUGUUAGAUUUUCUACCGAUUUUCAAUAUCAAUAUUUCGAAAUUAAAAUAAGUCAAUCUAAAAUCUAAAUCAAAUAUUUUAUUAAGUAGAGCAGAAAGUGACAAAGUAAGUAAUUAAUUAUAAAGUGAAAUUGAGAUUGUUUGGUAAAAUAAAUUAACUAUUUUUCCCCUCAAAAUAAUUAAAAGAAAAGUCUCGUUUAUAGAGGCAACCAGCUUGAAAAUGUAGCAAAUUUAUUUAAUUUCAUAUAUUUUCUUCUUAGGAAAAAAAAAACAACUAACAACCAUAUUUAUGAGCUGUGUCUUGUAUGGUUUUGAUGAAAUUGACAGAAAACAAAACUACACAAAAUCAUCUUUUAAUUAAAAAUAACGAAAAACUAUUAUUUAUAAAAAAAAAUGGCAUUAAAUAUAUAAAUGAAUAAUUAAUUGGGAAAGGAAACAUUACCCGUGCGGUAGGCCCCACGUUUUUCUGCCAACUAAAAUCCAAACGACAGUCACCACUCACGAGUCUGAACCGACAUCCCAACACAUAACUAUGCCGACACUUAGCUCCUUCCCUCCCUCUGAAAGCGACAUGUCGCUUUUACUUUUUCUCCUUUUUCUUUUCUUCCCUACCUUUCCCAAUAUUCAAAUACCCUCAUCACAUUUCUUUCCAACUAUAUAGAUUAUUCUUAAAUUAUUACUUCUACACUACAAUAACAAUUAUAAUUUUUAUCAUUAUAACCCCAGAAAAAUUAACUUUACUACGCUUCAAUGCAAAUGUCUUUAGGGUUUGGUCACGCUUUAUUGGAAACGAGCCCACGAUGAAGUCAUAUGUGGGCCAUUAUAUAUGAAGCCCAAUGGGCUUUUAAAAUUUUGAAAUGGGCCGGCUCAUUUACGGCAGACGCGCGAAUCUUCUUCCUUACACACCUCUAGCCUAUCCAUGGCUGCUUUCCCUUUCACGGAGCUUUACUCGCCUUCUUACCAGAAGUGCGCGACAAUGGAGAAGAUGACGGCUUCAUGGACUUAGGAUCUUCCCUUCGCUCAUCGAUUGCAAAGCGUCUUUGGCCUUUACAACUCAUAAGCUAAACUUCACCAUCUUCCUCCCUCUGUUGCCUUGGCUCGCCUGCGACCGAUUAGGGUUCUGAAUUGUGGAGUGAAUGUAAAACUACUUUUUGUUUAAUCCUACUGAUUGAGCUCUUGGAUCGCUGUACAACGCGAUGAACGUGAGCCGGCCUUCGGUGCAUCCGGUGGAGGCGCCACCACUUACGGAAGGAGCGGUACACAAUGGGCCGAGAGUGAGGAUGAAGGAUGUACAGGGCAUGCCUGGAACACUAGGUGGACUUGCUCUUCGUCUUCUUCAGUUCGUUUUUGCUACGGUUUCUCUCUGUGUUAUGUCUACCACCAGUGAUUUCCCUUCCGUCACGGCGUUUCGGUACGUAGUUCUUUAAUUUUGGUUUUCUAGUAUCCGACUUGGAGGAGCUUUUCGAUGUUUUGAUUGUUAUAAUCUCUAAACGUUACGUUACAGAGUCAAUGAACUGAAAUUAGGAUGCUGAUUAAAUAAAGAUAUGUUUAGCGUGAUUUGGACGUCUUUUGGAAUAUUUUAUCGUAAAGAAUGCGUGUUUUUUCGUAUUUUGUUGCUAAUUAUUCUGCUAAAGUACAAUUGUUUGGUAAUUGUGUCUGUAUUCUUAGAAAUGAAAUUUAGCCUCUGUUCAUGGUGACAGGGAUAGCUAAUAGCAAUAACUUGUAAUCACACUAUCGCUGAGGUCUUGUAAUUUAUAUGUGUUGCGAGUCGUAAUGGAGCCCCCGGGCAUCGACGGAAAUCCAUAUAGCCAUGUCAAAACGUUAUCGCGUUAACUUUCGAGUGUGUUCUAGAAGAAGAAAACCACGAAAUGUGUCAUUCAGUAUGUUCGUUUAGGAUUCGAGUGAUUUUAUUACGAUUUGUGUUGUAUUAUUUUCCCAACCGAGUGGUUAAGAAGUGCAUUCGUAAUUCACUCGUAAUUGCUAUUUUGUUUAAGAAAAUAGAGCAUUUGUUGUUGCUCGAUUAUUCAUCCCGUAAUCAAGUUCAUAUUUCAUAUGGAAUAAAUUGUUUUCCAUAUGUUUCAUAUCAGUUCCGUUUUGUGAACAAGAUUUGUAUUGAUUUAUAGUUUACCUUUACCAUAUUUCAUCACUCUGUUAAUACCAACAGGAGUUUUUCCCAUCCUUGGUUGGUUUUUUUAAGUUGGGAGGAUAUCUUAUUUUCUUCUCUCGUACAUACGUUUAUGAUUCCAAAAACUGAAAUGUAGCCACUCUUUUGAAAGAAGUUUGUGCUGUUGGCUAAUGUUACUCAUGGUCAAAACUUAUGAUUUUAGGGUAUUCUGUAUGUUUUUUUUACGUGAGAUAUUCUGUAUGUUUGAUCCUUCAAAUUUGUGUUCAAUUGUUCAUAUGGAAUUAUUUUGCCUAUGAUUUCUCUCAGAUAUCUUGUUGCUGCUGUUGGCUUGCAAUGCUUGUGGAGUUUUUCAUUAGCAGUAGUUGAUGCAUAUGCCUUGUUAGUCAGACGAAGCUUGCGGAACUGCUCAAUAGUUGGUUUGUUCACCCUUGGUGAUGCUGUAAGAAUAUUUUGCUUGCUACACUUUGGAAUUCACAUAAUACAUCUGUAUGCAUCUUAGAUUUGUAGCCUGAUAUAUCAUGUGCAAUGCAGAAUCUUGUUAAAGUCUGCACAAUGCUCAUAGAAUAGGUCAAAAAAAUCUUUGAUUGAAAUUUAAUAUUUAACUAUUUUUUGGGUACUAAGAUUAUACUUGGUUUGCAAGAAUCGUGGUGAGAAAUGAGAACCGAAGGGAGACUUCUUGUCUAAUAAUUGGGUGUGCCCAUCUGUGAUUUGCAAUAGAAUAAGGGUCGCUGGGUCUUUCAUUAUGAAGGAACGAACCUAAUACUCUAAAUUAUAUCAAUGCUUUAUUUUUAUUAUUAAUAUUAAUUUAUAUGUUAUUCUUAUCAUGAUAAUGUAAUAUGAUAUUUAUUCUUAUCGAUUCAAUUAUGAUAAUUUCAAUCUAUGUUCUUAUAAUUAAAUAAAUUUGUUGAACCAAUAAAACUUUAUUGAAAUUAAUUUCUUGAGUUCAAUUAGUAUUUAUAAUUGUUGAUAUAAAUAAGGAGUCGUGUUGUCCUGCAGGUUACGUCCACCCUUACAUUUUCUGCUGCGUGUUCCUCAGCAGGGAUUACCGUUCUUAUAGGCAAUGACCUUAACAAGUGUGGCGUGAACCACUGUGCACAGUUUGAGUCCGCCACUGCAAUGGCUUUCAUUAGCUGGUUUGCUGUUUCUCCUUCGUUUCUCUUGAACUUUUGGUCAUUAGCUUCUCGGUGAGAUUCCACUGCCAGAAAAUUAGCCUCUUUUUAGUUUUUGUCUCACCAACUACCCUUUGCUUCUAAAUUAGUACAAAAUUGGAAAUUUGAUGUACACAUGUAGGUUUUUUGCUGGGUUUGAUUGAGAAUUGAGAGAUAAUAAUAUAAGUGAAUAAAAUCACCUUCGUUUUGAUUAGAAAUAUGUAUAUGCACUUAUUAUUUACUCCUAGUGGUGUUAUUGUUGGAUGUUUGAACCUAUAUUAUUUACUUUCUAACAUUUGAGGUUCUGGUGUUAUGCCAUGUGAAAAUUAGAGAUAGAACUUCUCAAGUUUGGAGUAUUAGGAGGCAAGUCUCUUCCCCUGGCUGAUGAUGUCAAAGUAGAAAACCAAUCCAAACAAACCAAAAGUCUAGGCUUGAAUUCUCAUUAUCAUCAUGAUUCAACUCAUCCUUUUUUUGGAUUUCACGCCACUGAAAUCUCUGUCCAAAUAGUUGAGGGGAAAGCCUACAAUGAUUCAACAUAUCCUUUUUUUUUUUUUUUAUUUCACUCCACUGACAUUUCUUUCCAAAUAUUUGAGGGGAAAGCCUGCAAUGAUCAAACAAGAGCAAGAGUAGAGAGUGCUUCUAGAUUUAAUCUUGUAGAGUAACGCUCACUUCACGAAUCGUGAGGAUAUGAAAUAAUGGUUAAGAAAGAUUUAAAAGAAUUGAUAGUUACUAUCUAUAUCAACAAGAUGUACAUUCUUUGUUGGUAGCUCAUUUAUAGCAACACAAAAUUCAAGUGUUCUUAAUCCUGUAGGGGUGGCCUCCUUAAAAUUUCUCAGGAAAACAAAGAACUAUACAUGCUAAUAGGACUUGUAUUGGGUCGUAGGACUAGUCGUCACUCGUAUAAACAGUACACAUCAACUAGCAAGGAUGACAUUACCAGGUAUGCAAGUGAAUAGUGUGUCAUUGGGUGUAGAAUCUGAAGUCCAAUCCUGUGCUUGGGGAUUUACAUGUAGAUAGACCAAGAUGAUUGGCUGAAGUCUUUUCUAAUUGAUCAUUUCAUCUUUCUAGUAAAGAUCGAUCCCUUUUAACAAAGUAUAUUCUAAUAUGACUGAUUUACUUGUUCCUCUUUUCUGCCACCUCGGCAUUGGCCAAACAUCAAUAGGAAUAAUUCUUCGAGCCAAGCCAUAUAGAUGUCAUUGGUGCUUUCCUUGUUCAUGCACUUGCUUCAAGUACAUUAAAGGCAAAGCAUAUUUCAUAGAACAAUCUUCGUUCCUACAAUAAAAUUCUCUCCUUAUGAAUCCAGACAGAUACAUCAUACACAGCCAUAAAGCCAUAACUAAUUCAUCUUAAAAGACUAAAUACAUGAAUAUACUUCAUUGCAUACUCGUUCAUUUCAUGUAUAACAUAAUUUGUUUAGAUUUAAAACAUGUUUAAUUAGUUUUCAACAUCCUUGUGAAAAUAUACACACUUUGAUUUUCUAACUUCCACUCUCUAAUAAAGAAAAAUCUUGUAAUCACUGUGCUAUUUACAAUCACAAAACAUUGGAUUCUUGACUACAACAAUUGCUGACUUAUUAAUCACAUGGAUCACACACGUGCAUCCUCUUUGUAAAAUUUUAACUGCCUUCUAAGUUAUUUUUUUAAUUAAACACACGAUGAUGCAACAAACAUAUUUUGUCUUACUAUUACACAUUGGCAUGAUGGGUUGCAUAAAACUUUCGGUAAAAGCACUUUUAUAAUUAACAAAUAUCCACUUGCAUUUUUUUUUAUAUUUAUUAUUAAGAUCUCUAGUCCAAUUAGUAACGUUGAUUUGAUAUUCACGUGAUUUCUUUCUUCAAAUUUUUUGGAAAGAAAGAUUCACACAAGUUAAAAUGUGAAUUACUCCUUCGAAUGUAUAGAGGUAGGAUAGUUUCCAAACGCCAUUAUCAAAGAAAAUGUUGUUGGCUCAAAGACCAAGCUUAAGAUUUUAUUCCGAAUGUAUAAAUGGAACUUUUUUAAAUGAAGGUGAAAUCAACUUUAUUGACGAAUAUAUGUUUCAAAUAAAGAAGUAUAUAUUAACUUUUUGGUUAUAUCAAAAGUUUACACGCCAAUUUCAUGUAACGUCGUUAACUAAUAUACUCUUUCUUAUAAGAUGGAAAUUUUAAAUUAUUUUAAAUUCCUAUUAUUGCAUUUAUCAGAGUUAUAAGAAAAUUCAUAAUAUUUAACCAUUUUGUUCAAUAAUCAAGUUUACAAGUAUAAAAUUCAAAAGAUUGAUUAAAAUGGGGAAAAAACUAAAGUUGACGAAAAAGUCAGUUAUAAAAGCAAAUUUGAUUAUAUAUAAAAGCAAUGAUUAAAAUGAACAGAGACUAAGAAAAAAAGUGAAGAAGCCAAUGGAAAUAAAAUUAGAGCGUCAGUUACAUGCAAGUUCUACGUCGUUUUUCUUAUUUAUUGCACUACUAAAAGCUUUGAUUAUAUAUGGCAAUUAGUUUAUGUGAAAUAAAUGUUUCUAACACUUUUCCCUUCUCUCUCUAUCUUUCAAAUAAAUUUCCGUUUUUUUCCGACUUCAUCACGACCUCGAAAAUAAGGGAUUUGAAUACCUUGAUCUCUUUCGAUAGACAUUCAUAUGGAUUAAUUAAUUGAGUUAUAAUUAAACUUUUUUGAUAAAAGUUAUUUAAAAUAAAAUUUGAAAGUGCUUCAAACCUAUAUUGAAUGAAUAAUUUUUAAAAUUAAACGCUUGAAAAAGUUAAGUAAAGAAAUUUAUAGCGCAACAUAAUCCAAAAUUUAACCAAAUUCAUUUUGUUUCCGCUACUUUCAAUUCAAUCUUAUUUUCCAUCAUUUUUAUGCUUCACGAUUCCACUCUUGUUUUGCUUGAUUUCUCACACUAUGUUGAUUACAUUUCCACCUCAAAGGCUCGUAACCGCUAAAUUUUAUAACCUAACCGGAUGAGCUAUGUAAGUUUGUUUAUAGAGACUAAUAAAUUAGGGUUUUAGGAGAAACAUAAAUAAAAAAUCAUGACCUUGAAUUACGCAAUAAAAGAGAAUUUUGGAUAAUAAAGGGGAAAAAAAGGUGAUCAUAUUGUUCAUAUUUUCUCAUGUUUGUGCUAAAUGGACGGUGAGUAACGGCACAAUAUAUAACUUGAAAUCUCUUUAUAUGUCUCGAAAUUAACGUCAUGCAAUUCCCUUCCCCAUCAUAUCUUAUAUUAUUUAUACCCACAAAUGUUACCUUAAUUAAUUUUGUCGAAGCUUUUUUCAAAUACUCAAACAAUAGAGAGAUCAAGAAGUUAAUUCUGAUAAUAUGUCAAGAAGUGUUGAUGAUGAAAGAAGACUCUAUGAAUGUGCAAGAAAAUACCAAAUUAUUGUCAAACAGGUAAACAAACAAACAAACAAACCAUUCCCCUUGAUUUUGCAUUAAUUGAUCCAUCUAAUUUAACUGUACUGCUCUAACAUUUCUUCAUUUACUUAAUAUUGAUCUUUACAGUUAUUUUAUCAUGUUUAAAGUUGAUAGUACAUGUUUGAUGUUAGUGAAACUAUAUACUCAUUUUGAUAGGCUUUUGAUCAUUUAUAUAUAUAUGUUUUUUUUCAAACAAACUGUUCAGUUUGAUCAAUUGAUUGAGAUGAUGGAUAACAAGAAGAAGGCAACAAGAUUGUCAAAACGACGACGAACGUCCUCAGUAAGAGCUCUCUCUCACUCUCACAUUAACUUUCUAACUUCUAAUCAACAUUUGGUGGAUGACAAAGAAAUAAGAAAGUCAUUUGAAAUAUUAAAAAAGAAAAAAAAUAUUAUAUAUAAGUUUAAUUUCCUAAGAUGUCAAAGAUUCCCUCCAUGAGAUAUUGUUGUUGUUGUUGUCAUAUGUAGAGCCCAAGAACAAGCAAUAAUUCAUCCACCACUACCACUCAACCAACCUCAAGUAAUUUUCAACAAAAUUACAAUGAUAAUGGAGCAUUUGUGCAGACCAUCACGAGAUUCCUCCAUGAACUGAGAACCGACCCGACCGAAUCCGUCGAUAGCUAGCUGCUCCAUUCGUUUUCAAAACUAAGACGACUUUUAAUGUAAAAUGGAGGCCAUCGUUUUAAUUAUAUACCAAAUGUAAUUUUGAUUUUCGUGUGUUUGCUAGACUAAUUUUACAAAUAGAUUUGAAUCGAGUUAGAACAAUAUAACAAGAUCUAGAUAAUUACUGUAAUCCUCCCUUUUAAAUCAUACAUUUAUAUAUAUAUAGAUAGAUAUUUUGAAAGGUCAUAUCAAAUUAAAGAGAAUUGAAAUUUAUGAGGUUCAAUAAAGUAAAGCUAAUUAUGGAUCAAUUUGGGAAUUAAAUGAACAUAUAUAUAGAUAUAUAUAGAAGGGAGUUAAAUGGAUGUAAGAGUUGAUUUUCCUCCUAAUCUGUUAUACAGUGUUUAUACGUAACAACACAAUAAAAUGAAUUCUCUUUAAUUAAGGGAAUUGCGCAUUAAAUUUGUCAAGAGUUAUUUCAAAAUAAUAUUAUAAAAUGAAUUUAUUUUGGUCACAACACAAAAUACCAAUUUUAAAAAGAAAAAAAAAUCAAACAACAGAAUCUCUAUUAAAAAAUAGUGUUAAAAAUAAUAAUAAUAAUAGAAUAAAAGGAUGGGCUAAUAACCCAAAUUUGAAAAGAAGAGAGAGAGAAAAAAAAAGACAUUUUUAAAAAUAGUAAAGUAUUAAAAUUAUUUACAAAGUAUUCCAAAAUAAAAACUGCCAAUUAAAGUGUUACAUUUGAUUUGUAUAUUAAACAUAUAUACUUAUAAUUUUCCAAACAAAUAAUAAAUCUUACAUAGUAACUAAUUUGAUUUGUUUCCAAGUUCUAAUCAUCAUUAGAAGAUUAAUUUACAAUUUAUCCAAGAAAAAAGUAUUUUAAAAUUAACAAAAAGAAACUUCCCAACUUUUGAAAGGAUAAUUAAUGACUUCCUUCACACUAACCUAAUUAACCCUAAUUUUAAAUUAAAAAGCCAUUAAAUUUGUCUAAAGUUGCACAUGCAUGUUCGUUGAUACUGUGUACAAAUAUUAAAUAGUCAAAUCCUAGCUUAUUGAAUCAUAGGACCCAUCCAAAAUGGGUAUAAUUAAAAAUACAAUCUUAAUUGAAAUAAAAUAACAAUAAUAAUAAUAAAUCAGUGUGUGUUUUGUGAAGAGUAAUUAUUUGAAUUAAUUAUAUAACAAAGUACAUAUAUCAAUAACAAUAAUAAUAAAGAAAUGUUUAAUAAUCAUAAUAUUAAUCAUUUAUAAUGAUGCUCUCCAACAUGUGUCCUCUGAGUCAGAAACACAUAUUUUUGUAGUUUAUAUGAACAUAUAAAGAUACAAUGAACCAACAAUUAAUCUCAUCUUAUAACAAAAAUAUAAUGAACCCAACUCUGCUACAAAACCCCAUAAAUCUGAAUCCUUUUCAAAAAAAUUAAACAAAUUACUAGAUUCUUGGAGCCAUGGUGAUCCAAGAAAAAAAAUAAAAAGCUAAGUGUUAUUGGUAAUUAGGUAUAUUACUUAUGAUCCUAAUAUUACUAUACUACACAUAUUAAUAGUUAUUAAAUACUAAUUAUAGUCCUUAAUGUAAAUUAAUUAGAAACAAAUUAAAUAGUUGAGCUAGGUGGGCACAUGAUAUAUGGGUUUAGAGAAUUGUUAUUAUAAUAUAAAGUUGAUGAGAUGAUUAUUAUUAUUGGGUAUUGAAAAUUGGAUGGGGGUCAAAUGUAUAAAUAUGAAUUAAUUAGAUAGAUGUAAUGUAAAUGAAUAAAGAAAUAUUUGAAUGGCUAAAGUUCAAUGAACGUGUUGGAGUUUGUUAAAUGUUUUUGGUUUGCUUCAUUUUAGGGUUGCAAAGCUUACUUGUUUAAUCAAAAUUAAAUAAUGCCUCCUUAUUCGAAUGUUGCAUCUCCACCAUACCCUUUGGGUCUAUUAUUAUUAUUAUUGUUGUUGUUGUUCUUUUCCUUUUUAAAAAACACACAUAAAAAACAAGUUAUUAAAUGUACUUUAUAAAUUUUGACAUUAGUCGCAUUUCUUUUAAAUAUUUCAUCUCUCCAUUAAUAUAAUAAAUUCUUAAAAGAAAAAAAAAAAACCAUUAAGGACAAAAAAUACACUACACACAUUUUUGUGCAAAUAUUUGUUAAACUUUACCAUUCAUCUUAACAAUUCCUAAAAAGAAAUUAGGGUGUUUGUUUUUUUUAAUUAAAAAAUUAUUGAAAAUGGUGACUAAUAAUAAAUAAAUAAAUAAAUAACUUUAUUUUUGUUAUAUUUAAAAAUAUCUCUUUUUUUUUUAGGAAUUUUAAGAUAGUUUUGGUAAGCAGAUAGUAAUUUGUGAAUUGAUAUAUUAAUUACCUACUUUAGAAUAUAACAUCCUUCGUAACAUAAUUAUAAAAUUAUCUCUUCAAUACAUGAUUCCUAAUUUUCCCCUUCAAAUGUGUCUAAUUUUGAUUCAUUUACUAUAUUUCAUGAUUUUGUUAAAAAAAAAUUAUUAGCAUUUCUAUUGAAAAUAUAUAGAUUAAGAGAUUAAAUUUUAGAUAUAUGGAAAACAAACUAAAAAUAGGCAAAUGAAUAUAUGAACAACUUUCACAUUUUCAAUUAUAUGUUGAAUCACAUUAGUGUCCAACCUUUUUAAUUGUAUAAUUGAAUUUUCAUUAUUACAAGUCAAACAAAAUACUUAAUGGUAUGUAUAGUUUUCUUUUAAUCUAAUUCUAAUGGAUUGAAAUGUUGAUUGUGACUCAAACAAUGGUCGAUGAUGUCAUAACUACAUAUCUCAAUAUUUAUAAUGACAUUUUUUCAUUUUCUUUAGCUUGAUAUCAACACAAAGGGUAUGUUUAUAUAUAUAUAUAAAAUAUAAAUAAUAGAGACAUUAACUUAUGAUUUUAUUUUUACAAAAUAUCACAUUAGGUUGAAAUUAAAACUAUGGUGAGGAGUACAGUAUUAAUAAGAAAAAUCCCAAUGAAUAUCCAACCAGGGUUUGGCUAAGUUACCGUGAGAGUUGGUCCACAUAGAAGUAUUAAAAAUGGUUUGAGUUUUGUAGAUUAAAAUAAGAAAGAAUGAGAAACACCCAUUUUCAUGGAACCCACCAUUUCUAUUUCUGAUUUGGCUUCCAAACAAUUUUUUGCACUUAUCAUUUAAUGGAUUUGUAUAACGAUAAGAGAGGCAAGUUUUAGCCCUCAGAUUCAAAUAUAAACUCCUUAACUCAUCAUCAAUAUAAUAUAUCAGUUUCCUUCUCAUUCUUAAACACUUUUGACAUAUUUCCCUUUUUAACUCUCUCUCUCUGUUUUUCUAUUUCAACUUUUUUUUUCUGCCCUUUUGAUGUGGACCCAUUUCUAAUCAAACAAAUCUGCAUUUUGGGUUAUCUUCAACUUGGUCAAGUAGUUUCUUGAUGGACCUUGCCCCUUUUGCCUCCUCUGCUGCCCCCCCAACUUCUUUUGUUUCAACCUGCCAAAUGUUUGAUGAAAUGCCACACCCAAAGGAAAACCAAACCAUCCACUCUAAUACCAAUUCCCAACUAUUUUGCUAUGAGCUACCUGAAGCUAUAUAUUACAACAGGUUGGUUUUUUAGAUGAGGUUGUCUCAUAAUAAUCAUUGAAUGUAGAUCAGCGUGACGGCGCCCUUAAAUAAUUACCCUUACACAGUACAAGUGGUGUUUAUGUGUGGUACGAGUAAGGUAAUAAGUUUGGUUGAUCUUUCGGAUGUGAUAACUAUUUGGAUGUGAAUUUGUAAAUCUACCUAUGAGGUACUUCUACUGUUUCUUUCAUACAUUUAAUGAUACCAGCCAUGCUGUGAUGACCACCUCAAAUUAUUAGUAUUUUGAAUAAAGUUGGCGUCAUGUGAUUAUUUUGUAGUAACAAUUAACUAUAAAUUUGUAACUCUACUUGUCGUUUCUCUCUUAUAUAUUUAAAUAUAUAAUGGUAUGAAACUGUUAGUCAUAUUGUAAUAGUCUUUCUUUAAAUAAAUUCUUCGAUAUGCUAGAUGUUGAUUUGUGUUAUCCAUAGUAUUUUUUCUUGAUAAGAGGGGAUAUUGUCAAAGUGAAAAAUGUUUGUUUCUCUGCACCUAUCUAAAGGUUUUUAUACUAGCUUUUUCAUGGUCCCAUUUGUGCCUUGUGUCUUUUUCUUUGACAUUUAUAUAUCUGUGCUGCUGCUCUAGAAAAUGCAGAUUUAUUUAUUAUACUUCUUUAUAAAGUAUGGGAUGUUGAGUCUUAUAGGUAUGGAGAAGUCUUAUCUCUUGAACUAACUUUUUGGGUGAGGGAUAUCUAUCUGACAUCAACACUCAUUUCCCUUUUUUAAAACCUUCGGAAAUUUUUACUGAUAUGGGAUUUGUUCUCAUUUGCAGGUAAUUUCAAACUGCCAGUAAAAAAAAUAUGUAAGUCAUGGCUAGCUUCAUAAACCGGCACCAAAUAACUCAAUUCACUAAUAAGUAUUCUUUAAAUAUGUACAUUUUGUUGGAGAAUUCAUCUUCCUGACUUUGAUUUAUUAACUCCAAACUUCAUAACUCAGUUUACACAAAACAUGUCUUUAAGAAUGUGCUAUCUUGAAUUUUGUUUUUGUAAAUUUCCUAAUAUCUUUUGAAGAAUGGGACAAAUCCAAUAGAUUUGACACAUUCUUUGCAAUGAUUUAAUUUUGUUGACAUUGGAGAAGCACAUUAUCAUGAAUCAUGACAGAGUCUAUCUAAACACUGUAGACUUUUAACUUCAUAUUCAUGAUAAUAAUACAUUAAUCUAACCAAUAGAGUAUCAAGUCAUAAGUGUUUUUAUAUCAUUGUUGAAACUGGACAUCAUAAUCUUACACACAAAUUAAAGAUAUAAUAUGUUUUCUUGAAAAGUGUCGUUAUAGUAUUUAACAAAUACAAACAGUUAUCCAAAUUGCAAUUUGAUAAAGAAAUGUGCAUUUUGAUAAAGAAAUGUGCAUUUUGACUCAACUUGAGUCAAGCAAGAUAAUUGGAUAUAAAUAUAUAUAAAAAUCUCAUGUCAAGAAAAAGAAAACAUCGUAAUGUUUACUAAUAUUAAAAAAAAAAGAAUAUUAAUAAAGAUAAAUUUUUAGUGUGAACGAGAGAAGAGUAUGAUAUUCAUGUAAUUUUAGAAUUUUUUAGAAUUAUUUGUAUAAUAUAUUUGAUUCGAUUUUCUCUGUCAUUUUAGUUUUUUUUUCAUGGGUGUUUUUCUAGUGGAGCUUGAUGUUGAGCUGUGAGAUGGAUCCUUCUUUAUUUCUUUGUCAUAUAUCAUAUUUGUAAAAUUAGAUAAAAUAACUUUCUUUUAAAGUGUGAUUAUUUACACUAUACUUUACUCCUCUAAACAACAAUCUCAUUUCAAACUUUUUAUUACUGUUUCACUUAUCUCAGACAAAAGUUUAAAUUGAUAAUCAAAUUGUAAUAGUAAAAACAUCAUUUUAAGAGCUACUUUUUUAUAAAUAAAAAAAAAAUCAAAAUUUAACUAUAAAAACCUUCUCAAAAGUAAUUUCACAAAAAAGAAAUUAACGAAUGAAAGUACAAGCACUCUUUUAUAAGAACCAUUUUUUUUAAAAAAAAGCAACUAAAUAUUAAUCAAAUUGAAUCACAUGGAUUGAAAUGAUUCAAUUUAUGGAACGAAAGGAAAGAAACAAAAUGAAAUAACUAAUAUCAAAAAAGAAAAAUGUAACCUCUAAAAACAUAUGUAUAAAUAGGAAUGGUGCAAUUAAACCAUUAUGAGUAAAUGCAAAACAAGAAAUGAAUAAAAAUAAACCAUAUUAGUCAAAUGAUUAUAGAGUAUUGACAUAACUAAUUAAGAAAGCAAGGAGGAAAAUCUCGAGAAUUAAUAAUAAUAAUAAUAACAAUAUUAACAACAAUAAAGAAGAAGGCAUAAAUGGGAGGAAAUCGAGGGAGGAGAGGAAGUAGUGAAAAUAAAAAAUGAGAAGAAAAUGAAAAUAGUUGUGCCGACACGUCGUUUGGGAUGAAGUUGACCGUACCGUUGGGAUAAUACGCAUUCCUAAAGUUUGCUGAAACAAGGAAAGGUUACCAUCAUCCAUGAGCUGUCUUCACAUUUCCAAUAUUAUAUUUUUUUUUACUUCCUCUUUCUUCAUCUUUAGUUUAUCUAAACUUAUUUUAUAAAAUUACUUAAAUAAAUAUCCUAAUGAGAAACAUACACUAAGUGAAAGAUUUUCAAAAUUUAUAGCUAACAAUAACUAUAAAUAAUUUUUCUUUAUAAAAUGAACUAACUUACUAAAUUUAGAUUUAUUGGAAAUAGACUCAAAUUUGAUGGGAGAGAGUGCAUGACUACAAUUUUAGGUGUCUACAAAUAAGUGGAUUAUUAUUCUACUUUUAACUUAUUUAAAACCCUAUUUUUAAUAUAACUUUUAUUCUAUUUUGGUCAAUACACUUUAAAUUAUUUAAGGUCUAUUUUGAUUUUGAAUUUAUUUUCUAAAGUGUCUAGAUACUUUUUUUUUUGUUUUCAAAUUAUAAAUACUAAAAAUUCAGGUCAAACAUGUUCUUGAUUUUAGCUAGUUGAUGAAUCUUAAAAUGAGUCAAUUCAAUUUAGUUUCUUAUUGCUUUGUUCUAAAAUAUGUAGUCUAAUGUCUCCUUGAAUAUAUAUGCAUAUAAAUACUAUUAUUCAUAAAUUUAAGAUUUAUUGAAAUACCUACUAUUAAUUUAUAAAUUUAUUGAACCUAACAUAUAAAAACUGAAACAAAGAUUCAUAAGUUACAAAAUUGAAAUUUAUAAUUUGGAGAAAAUUAGAAUGUAGUCUAUAUAUAUAUAUAUAUAUAUAUAUAUUAAUUUAUGGAAUCUCUAUUUUUAGAAUGAAAUAUGAUGUUUUGAAUUUGAAUUUGAUUAAAAAAGACAUGUUAAGUGUUAAAUAAAAAUACAAAAUUUUAUUUAUGAGGGUGAAAUUAGAAUUGAAGAAAUAUAAAAAAGAAAAAAAAAUGAAAAGAUAGGUUGAGAAGAGAGAAGGAAGAAGGAGAAAAGGGGAUGAAAAAAAGAGAGAGAGAGAAAUUGGGAGUGUGGAAGCAAAAGCAGUCUAUCACUCUCAUCAGCUAUAAAUGAAAAAGGUUAAAUUUUUUAUUUUUGGGUGUGGGAGUUUCUGCACUUUCUCACACACAAACUCUCUCCUCCAGAUGAGCUUCAAAGCCCACCAGUGACUUUUAUCUAAAAAAUUUCCCUUUUUUCUCUCUCUCCCUAUCAUCUUUCCCCCUAAAAAAACUCUGUUCCCUCUUUCUCUUUCUCUUUCUCUUUCUAUAUAUAAAGCUUAUGCAAUUAACUCUCUGGCGUUACUGAAGCAUCUAUGAGAUCUACUGUCCACACUGAAUUCAUGGAUUCAAUGAGAUUUCCUACGAAUUAAGCCAGUACGGAAAACCCAGGUGAAUAUCAAAAGAAGUAGAACAGCAAUGAAAUCAACAAACAAUUUUACAACCCUAUCUCCUUUUUUUUUCUUUUCUUUUUUGUUCAGCUUCAUGUGGGUUUCUUUUGUUUAUCCAUAACCUCUCUUAAAAUCUGUGUUUUUGAAGCUUGGGUUUUAAUUCCUUUUCUUUUCUUCACCUUUAGCUUGCAUCGGAUCCGUGGUUUUUUAUUCUGAUCUUCAUUUCUCGUGGCCAAUUUCUUUUGGGAGAGUAGGUUUUGGGUUCUGGGUUCUGGGUUGGGCUUUAUUUUAGGUGUAUGUCCCAAUUUUGAGAUACCCUUUUGUGUUCGAUGAAAGUCCCCGGUAUUUUUUUUAUUUUUUAUUUUUUUUUUUUAUAAUUUUGAGCUGUUUUUCUGGAUUUUGACUGUCUAGGGUUUGAAUUGUAAUGGGGCUCUAUUAAUUUUGAACUAUAGGUAUGCAUUUAGGUUGUUGACUUUCUAUAAGGAGAAAUAAAAAAUAGGCGGUAAGGUAAGGCCGAACCAGGAUUAUUUAUUAUUAGAAUUACUCAUGGUAGUUAACAUGUAGAAUUCUUGUACCUCCCUAAAUCGAGUUUUCUUAAUUGCUAAACUGAUUUCGUGGGGAAUUAGCUGCUUUUUCAGUUUGUUUAGUCAACAUCUGAUUUUGAUUCCUAAAAAUUUAUCCUAUGCAUGAUUUCACAAUUUUGUUGUCUUUAUAGUAAAGUUUUGAUUCUGGACUUUCGGUUUCUACUUUAUUAUUGUAAUUUUGAGAUCCUAUCAUCACCUAUUGUUUCUCAUAGAUUUCUUUUACCAAAAAUCUAUUAUUUCUUUGAAUGUAUUGCAUAAACAACUAUUUUGUUCUGCAUUACCGUUGUCUCCUUCUCUGAUGCUAAUGGAUAUGCUUUCAUUGAUUUAGGCGAGGGGUGGCACAGAAUAUUCUUUUCGGAGCAGGCACUAAAUUAAUAAGUUAUCAAGAUCACUCUAGAGUGCCAUUCAAUUGGCAUUCAUUCUAAGAAUGCUAAGGAAGAUAACCACAGCUAUCGUUCGAGGAUUUUCGUGGCGUUAGGACUGAGGGAUUGAGCACAUAUAAUGUGCUAGAAGGAUAUUUGUUGAAGCAAGGAUGGAUGUUCAUGUUAUAUUUGCACAAUAUAAUGGAACAGGGGUUAUUUACAAUGGAUGAUUUUUGUUCUUUUUUCCUUUUUUCUUCGGUUGUAGAAAUUUUUACUUUCUAGUUAGUAAAAGAGUGGUAGUUGCAGAGAACACAAACACCUGAUGUAAAUUGUUUAUCUCGAUGCUUAUUAGGAAGUUUGUAGUUUUCUGGACUUGUUAGCCACGCUUUACACACUGCUCCAUUCCGACUAUUUUGUGGAAAAUCUCCAUUUAUACCAUGGAAUCUACGACAUUGCAUACAACUCAUCAGUCGGGUGCUAUUCAUAGGUUUAUACCUUUCAUUGCACCUGCACUUCUAGUU